GUUGAUCAGGACCUGUUGAAUCAAGCACAUCUAUAUGUCUUGGAGAAUACGGAGGAAGUCCUACCUUAUAUCGAGUACGUAUGAGCUUUAUUCUUUCAGUUUCCAUUUUAAAUUAUUUCUUAUGUUUAUCUUCUAUAUUUAGGACAGUAAUGCUUGAAUUUUUCGUGUCAUGUAGGCAACAUAUGAUCCACAUCAAGACUGCUUAUCCAAAAUUUAGAAAGAGAACAAAGUGGCUGCAGGAUAAGCACAAUAGCACUUUCAUUCAAUGGCUACGCUUCAAGGUAUAUGUUGUUGAAUAACAUAUUUCUCUUUUAAUUUUCUUCUUAUUUAUAUGUUAGAUUGAAUUAAGAUAUGAUUAAUUUGCAGGUUCAAAGUGAACUUGAGGAAGACAAUCAUGGCGUAUCAGAAAAUUUAAGGUGGCUAGCAGCUGGUCCAAACAUGUCAGUGCCAUUAUAUAGGAGCUAUCUUAUUAAAGGUAUUAAAUUUAAUAUCAAGGCACAAGAUGAUGUGCGGACAACUCAAAAUAGUGGAGUUUAUUUACUUGCACAUACCAUGCAAGUUGCUAGUGCCAAGGAUAAAAACCCAAUUCUCUCAAAUAUGGGUUUCUAUGGUGUCAUUCAAGAAAUUUGGGACCUUGACUACCAAAAGUUUACAAUCCCAGUCUUUAGGUGUGAUUGGAUAGAUAGUUCUGGUCUUGUAGUCGACGAACUUGGAUUUACCCUUGUAGAUUUGAGUAAAAUUGGACAUAGGAAUGACCAAUUUGUUUUGGCUUCUCAAGUCAAACAAAUAUUUUUUGUUGACGACCCGAUGCAUCGUGGUUGGUCGGUAGUGUUAUCAAUGCCUAAUAGAGAAUAUAAUGAUGUUAUUGGUGAUGAAGUCUUAGGUGAUGUGAUAAUUGAGUGUGAGCCAUUUCCUAGAGGGAUGCCAAAUGUUGACACAUUUGAUGAACUGGUGGGUGAGUUAGGCGGUCAAAAUAUUCGAGAUGGGUGUGAAGAUAUAUGGAUUGAAUGAUGCUUAUGUAAUUGGCAGUGUAUGACAUUAAUUUUGUAAUAUAUUGUAAUGUGAUUUCUUCACUUUCUACGUUCAAAUAAAACACGACGUUAUUGUGAACCAGUUAUUCAGCAUAUUUACCGACGUCUUAAAGCAACGUAACAAUGAAGAACCACGACGCUAUUGUGAAGCAAUUAUUCAGGAUAUCACGUCGGGGAAGGAUUAAGAACCGCCAUGUAAUUCAAAAUAACACGACUCCAAUCCCAUAAUACCGACGUCUAAAAAACGAGAUAUAUAAUCUGAACGUUAAAAAAUACGACGUCAUCAUACAUUUUCCACGUCGCAAGUUCUUUUAUAAACGAAGAGGAACGAAAUGAAUUCCGACGGAAAUUCAUUAUAACCGCCGUCUAAUAACAAUUAAACGACGUUAUUUGUAAUACGGCUCUCAUCAUAAUCUACGCCGUCUAUAUGUUCUGUAAUACGGCUCUCAUUUAUUUGGAACCGACGUUGUUUAGAAGUUCAACGUCGUCUAUAUUAUUAAGUGCGUCGUGAGUAAUGAAUACAUAUAAAUACAACGUCGACUAUAUAAAUGCCACCGACGUUGUUUCGCAUUUCAACGUCAACUAUAUAAAUACAUACGUCGUAAAUAAUGACACUGACAAAUAUUUCCACGUCAUCUUUUUUAGAAAAAUCGAAGUGGAAAAUUUAUUUCAUGACGGUUGUUUGUAAAUAAGAGACGUAGUAUAUUUCAAUAACGUCGUCUUCUCAUGUAUUUAAAGACGUCAUAUUUUUUCUUGUCGUGUAAAUUGUAUUUAACGGCGUAGUAUUUUAGUUGUCGUCGUUGUAUGUAUAUCUUGCGGCCUUGUUCUUUUAAUAUGUGUCAUAUUUUUCCUUUUUAACGACGGUGAUUUGUUUGAGUUGGUCGUCUAUUCUCAUCCUCGACUAUUUUCUAGAACUUUAGCAGACUAAACACGUCUGUUUUUAUUUUUUCCCGACGUUGUUUUAUUUAACAACGUCUAAUAUUUAUCGUCGUUGUUUGUUUAUGAAAAUAGGACGUAUAAAUUUUGUAAUACGACUCUCAUAUAUUUGGAACCGACGUUGUUUCGUUUUUCAACGUCUACUCUAUAAAUACAUACGUCGUAAAUAAUGACACUGACAACUAUUUCCACGUCAUCUUUUAUCGAAAAAUGAAGUGGAAAAUUAAUUUUACGACGGCUGUUUUUAUAUAUGCGACGUAGUAGGUAUCAAUAACGUCGUCUUCUAAUGUAUUUAAAGACGUCAUAUUUUUUAUUGUCGUGAAAAUGAUAUUUAACGGCGUCGUAUUUUUAUUUUCGUCGUUGUAUGUCUAUCUUGCGGCCUUGUUCUCUUAAUAUGUGUCAUAUUUUUCCUUUUUAACGACGGUUUUUUUAGAGAGUUGGUCGUCUAUUCUCAUCCUUGACUGCUUUUUUAGAUCUUUUUGCAGUACAAAGACGUCGUUUUGUAUUUGUUGAUGACGUUGUAUAUUUUAACAAUGACGGUUAUUUAGCGUCGUGGUUUAUGAGGGAAAAGAUGACGGUGGAUUCCACGACCAUUGAAAAACCCAAUACACGACGGUGAUUUACCGUCGUCUUUUUGCUUUUUUGUAGUAGUGACUUGAAAAAAAGGGCUUAUAUUUUCAGAUAUAUGAGAGGGUAAAAGUUUAAAGAAAAAGAAAAGGAACUGAGCAGAUUUUAUGUGUCCACCAAAUUGCAAUGAUCCCACCUUUGGAGGCAAUAGUAUAGCUCUCUUAUUUAAAAACCAGAUCAUUAAAAAGGUGACAGUGUAUCUGAAAACAGAAAUUCCAAAAUAUGUUCAUUUGCGAAGUAAAGCAAAAAAGGAAUAUUAACAGAAACUGUUUUGAAAAUCACAUACUGAGAUAUAACAGUGGAAAGGGCUGCACCAGUUACACCCAAACCAAAAUAAUACAUAAGGAUGGGUAAUAAAAAUGCAGCUAGGAGAUUACCAAUACCUGCACAAAGCAAAAUACAUCAAUUAACCAGAUGGACCACUCAAGCUUAACUAAAUACAAAUAGAAACCAACUAGUUGGGGACAAAGUUAUAAAAACAUUAUGCGAGAAUAACAGACCAGUAACACACACACACACACACACACACACACACACACACACACAUAGAGGUGUGUACAUGUGUGGUUGUAAGAAAAUGGUCUUAGUGAAAGAAACCGUUCUGCAGGAAUGCGCAUAGGUGAGUCCUGUGAUAUUCAAGAAAAAAGAAAAAUCUUGCUUAAAAUUCAAAGCCAAGAGCUUGAGAGAAGAAAAAACACAAAACGUAUGGCUCCCCCCACCCAGACCCACAGAAAUUAAUAAAAUUACACGAAAGUUAUACUAUCACCUGUUAAGUAACCACACAUACACUAGACCUACAAAAUUGUAUAGUAAUUAUUCACAUAAAUAUGUAAACAUGUAUGUACACAGUACACACAGAAAACAUAUGUUUGUAUGUUUAUGUAAACAAAGAUAACAACAGGCAGAUAAAAAAUCAGUAUGAGCUGUAAUUUUAGAUCAGGGAACCUACCAUUGAUAUGGCCAUCAUAUUCAGAAACAAUCCAGAUCCCAAAGACAAGGCUACGGCCUCAAAAAUCCCAAUCCCUACUGAUAAUAGUAAAGCUGUAGACACUGAAGAUAGCUGCUUUCUCUCAGUUACUCCAUCAGUACGUUCGGGUUUACCAUUAGUAAUGUCUCCUAGCCAACCAUUUUCUGUACAAUGAUUAGCCGAAUUUAGAUUACAAAUGGAGAAAUUUUAAGUCACCUAUGCUCUAAUUUAGACAUGAACCCUAACCAAAAUUGAUGUCCAACAGAGAUGAGAAAGUAAUUAAAAAAAGUUAAACUUCACCUGAAGUAGAAACUAUACUUUCACUCUUUGCAAGAUCUUCAGCAACAAAAGAUGUAGCAACACUGAGGAGAGGGAUAUUAAAUAGCUUUGAUAUAUAAUUGAAGAUGUUCAUUGAAAUACCAGCUGAAGCCAACUCCACAGAACCUAUGGAAAAACAAAAAAGCCAAAAACAUUGAAUAAAAGCUCCAAAGUUCAAUGCAUUAUACAAAUAUUAGUCGUUCAACUCAUUUAAAGGAGUGAAAACAUACCCAAUCUACCAAUGUAAGCAGUCUCCAUUAGCUGUGCUAAGGGAUCAAUGGCAUGACCCAAAAUUGCAGGUAAAGAAAGCAUCAACAGCUCACGUUUGACAUCUGGAGAAUAUGUUUGACUGAUAGGAAGGUUGCUCAACGAUAGACAGGUACUGAAGAAUCAUUUACCCAAAACAAGCAUAAAACAAUGUUUAAGAUAGGUAUCAAAUCUUGUAACCCCCAUCACCUAAAACUAAUUAAGAGUAAUCAUAAGAAUUUCUGCCACUCACUGAAAUAGACAGGACCAAGAAUCUGUUAGCAAUGUUUCUCAUAUCAUCUUCACAAUUUUUAAGAUAGGUAUCAAAUCUUGUAACCCGCAUCAGCUUGCUUGCCCUUGUAAGAUCAAGAAGGACAAAGGAAGGGAGGGACUGGCUUUCACCAACAGUAGAAAAACUCAUCCACAGCUAUCAUGCUCAUAUUACCAUUCACUCUAACAAACCAGAGUUUUUACAAAAUGAUAAAUUUCUAACAAAUUUGAAAAAAUAUGAAUCUCUGUGCAAGGAAAAUGGGGAGUUCAGCAUAGGCAGAUCAGUAUUAAGUAGUUUACGGAAACAUAACAGUCCAUUCCAGCAUUAAGAUGCCUAUCUUAUGUCCAAUUAUGAAGGGAAGAAAAAUAUAUCACAUAUUAGAAGAAAUCAUAUCAAACUAAUGAAAGUAAGAGCAUCAAUUAUUUACAACGAACUAAGUCAAAACUAAAUGGAGAAAUGUUAACAGAGUUGUAUGCUUCAGUAAGUCCAGUAACAGAUUCCCAAAACCACAGACAAAAAAUGUGAACAAUGGCUACAAAAGCAUCCAUAAAGAGCAACUAUAUUCAUAUAUGGAGGUGUACAAAAUAGUUAACCUUCAAAAUCGAAACAGUGUGUGUGCCAUGUAAGGCAAUUAGCCACUGCUUCUAGAUUGUACAAUAUUACACCUCACCAUAAUAUCUAAACCAACUAGCUCUAGCAAAAAGGCAUGAUGACCAUAUGAAGUACCCCCACCAAAGCAUCUACGUCUGCAUGUUCAUAUGAAGGAGUUCCUGACAUAAGUUAUGAGCAAAGUGAAUUCCCAAGUCAUAAGUCCAUAGUGAGGUGAAUUCACGGACAUUAAGACAUUUACCUCAUAAAUAUGCCUCCCCCCUUAAACCCUCAAUUGCAAGCUUCAGUCGGUAAUAUUUGAUCUUCAAAGGGUCAACUUUAUCCACCGAAAUCCCAGCACUAAGAUGCUCGAUGAAUUUGACGGUCAUGAUUCCGCAAGACGUACUGUCAGGCCAAUAAGUUGGGAAAUUAGAACUGCAAUUAUGUAAAAUUUGGAUAAACUACACUAAAUUGACAAAGCUUACCCAUCCCGUUGUUGUGGAACACCUGCAAUGCUGCAAACUGAGAAUGGCGUAAACCUCGACAUCUGCAGCCCCUUUUGCUUAACCUCUUCAACCUCAGAAUCUUCAUAAAAGUGCAUCUCGUACAGCACUCGUGCUAGCGUAUCGCUAAUAGGGUGCAGCAGUGUAACCAGCCUCGAAGAUUUGGUAUACGCAACAUAGGAGUCAUACACAGUUGCAGUAUGUCUGACGAAAUCAAUUUCGAUUGCAACCCAGUGGGACCCUCGAAGAUUAUAUGGAAAAUAGACCUUCCGGACUUUUGUCCAAGCUUGGCCAUACCCGUGCUGCCACGUACCGUGCACAUAGUGAUGUAUAUUCUUGAGCUUGUUAGAUGGAAGGUCAACGGUGUUUGAAGCAGCUGCCUUCUUCGCUCCACGUUUCUUCGUAGUCGGUUUCAACGGCUCUAGAAAUUGCUGCAUAAAUUGAAAUGGAGGCAUAUUAGAAAAUCACAACCGAAAGCAAAUGAACCAGUGAAUGUAACAUGGUAACAUGUUUACCUGCAAGCAAUAAUCUGCCGUUGUCCAGUCAGUUCCAAAUACCAACAGAUGAGAGAGUUGCCUUUUCCGGAUAAGAAAGGUUGCCAUGUCCAGGUGCUGAAAGUUGACAUAUAUACUAUGAGCACAAUUUCAUACAACUCUACAAUUAAAAAAUGUGGGAAAACAAUUGAAUUAUUGUAAUAAAGUAGAGCUUUGUGUAUUCUUACCCUUGAGCUAACCCAUUCCGUGUCAUCGAUAAGUUUGUAGAAAAAAUCUGCGUCCACUGAAAAUGAUUCCAGCUGCACCUCCGCACUACAAAAGGCAAACUUGCAACGAUUACUUUUGUACUCAUCUCAUAAUUCCGACAAAAAUACAUAAGUAUAUUAAAGCAAACUCUACAUUUUGUCAUUAGUCUAUGACUACAUACUAGAAUAGGAUGAAGAUUGGAUUUCAAAGGUAAAGAAUCCUAACCUGAUAUCGUUUUUCCAGGCAGUGCAAAACUCUAUUACUGCCUUCACAUCUUCAAUGGGCACGGGUUUUGUUGGAUCAAAACAUGGCGGGGUUGCAAUUGCGGCCGACACACUCAUCGUCCUCUUCUUCCUCAAAGGAUCAGUAAAUGGGCUCAACAAUGUCUGCGCCGGGCGCUUCUGUCUGCACCCUUUACCUUCCACUUCCUUUUUUUCAACACUCGAACUCCCUUCUUCAUCACCAGCCAUACUAACUGUGGGUAGACUUGGAGGAUUCAUUGGACCUCCCGAUGGCAUACUCUGAGUCUUUUUCCAAUCUUCCAACAAAAACAACACUCUUUGGCAGAUUUCGUCACACCCGGCCACAUCUUCCGGGGUAGGCAGCUUCUCGGAUUGUGCCUGCUCAGCUGCUUCAUGCACUUCUAAGUCAGCAACUGAAGCAGUCAUUGCUGCCUCUUCGACUACCAUGGCUGCGGAAGGUUCGGCUCCAUCAGCGGGGACUUGUGUUUCCAUUACUACCGGUUCUGUAGGCGGACUAACAUACUCAUGUGGAGGCGAGAAGUCAUCGGCUGCUCCUUCAUUCAUAUGAGGACUACCGAGGUCCUCAUGUCCUUCCCCACCUUCAUUCACCCCACGAUUUCGUAUUUUCAGUUGCUCUAUCUCCACCUUAAAAUAAUGCUCCAUUGAAGCCAGGGUGUUGCGGAAAUCCUCCACACACUUUUUAUUUUUUUCGAACUCUCUUUCAACUUUCAAUGACUCCUUCCGUACCAUGUCUUCCAACUGAUGCACUCUGUUGCAAAGCGCUCGAUUUGAUAUGGCAACUUUGGCCAAUUCAUCCUUUGUCCUUUGAAAGUCACGCUUCAAAGUACGUAACUCAGUGGACGCGACUGUACCCUGCAUUCAAUUAUAACGCAAGUGUUACAAUAUUUCCAAAUUAUAUUGCAACAAUACAGCAGCUUUUUUCCUAUUGUAUUAUGACGUAUAUCUUGGAAACAAAAUUAAUGCUUGCCUUAGAAGACGACGGAAGGCUAGCAGUUUCGUCAAUGUCCUCAUCUUUUUCUUCUACAGAGGCAGAAGUGCCAGUUUUUUGUUCAGCGUCAUCGCCCAACAAGUCAACAAGUUCUUCAGUGUCGUCAGCACUGUCACCCCAAGUCCAAUACGGCUGCUGCUUGUCCAUUACAGAUGGCCGGAGAAGCUGCACAUCAACCUGCAAUUUACACGUACAAUAUACAUAUCAGUAAACUAAUUAUAUUAUAUUUUCAUAUCCCUAACAUUAUCAUUAAAAACUAAACUAACCUCACGGUUCUCGAAUACUUGGCUCAUUAGCUCAUAAAAACGCGGCGAACUAUUGCUCCUCCAAUGUAGUAAACGAGGGAUGUACGCAUUAUCUUCGUGCACCACCAAAUGUAGUGCAGCCAACGCUGGAAAUACCUCAUACGCCCAAAUCUGGUUUGAGGAAUAAAAGGUCAGUCAUUGUAAACAAAUGCAAUUUAACUUCAACAUCAAUGGACAUUUGCUCACCUGAAGUGCAUAGGCAAAACCUUUAAGGUGGUACUCUCUUGGUCUACCAGUUUCCGUUGUUGUUGGUUUCUUUCCAGAUUUUUUUGUUUUUGCAGUUUUUGUGGGCACUUUCACUCGCUGGUAAUCUGCACAAAGUGCCCUCAGCAGUGACGCAUUUGUCUUCGCAUAACACACAGCACCCCAUGGAUACUUCCCAAAGUCUUCAAGGUCUUCCGCCAACUUCAAAUAUCGCAUGUCAAUGUGGACAUGUUUUUCACUGCCCAACAGCACAAACACAGCAAAGUAUACGAAUCCGAGCUUCAAUACAUCGUCCACAUCAUCGCAUUCGAGGAAGGCCUUUUCUAAUUCCAACAGGUUCACAGUUUUAUCGUUGGCAAAGUACUUCCGUUUCAAUGAGCAGUUCUCAUUAGUGGGAAUCGGAAUAAAGGGAAGGUUUCCAAACCUUAGCCCUGUCACGAUGCAAAAUUGUUGCGCCGUGAAUUGGAUGACCUUAUUGCCAACAAUGAAUUUGAUCCCAUUCAAUUGGGAAACUGUCUUGGGAUCAGCUUUCCUGAGCAGCAAGCCGUGGACAAUUGGAGAAGUCCACUUGAGGUCCUCAAUCCGUAGGAGAUGGCCAAAACAACUCUGUUCAAACAUUUGCAGCUGCUGUUCAGUGAAUUUCUCCUUUAUCGUAGUGAUUGCGGUCUUCGUAUGGGAUAGCGACAAUGCUUUCCCUUGGAACUUUUGUUCCUCUGCAAUCAUCAACUUCAUUUGACCAACCAUAUUUCCCUGCAUGCCAAUAUUAUAAAUAAAAUUUCAGUCGGUUGCAAUCUAGACAAUAACAAGCAAUAAACAAUCACCACUUAUCAACAGCCUAUUAUAGGAUAUGAAGUGAAAAAAAAACAAAAAAUACAUAUCAUAAACAAAACCCCAGCUAUUUACAACUGACCUCCUAAUUUAAUGGCUCAAAGCCAAGUUUCAGGACACCCAGUACUCUACCACUCCUGCAUAAUAUAAUAUCUAAACACACAUCUCAACACACCAUAUAAUCACACCAUCUAAUCAUGAGACAGCUUCAGCUAGAAUGGGAAUGUGCGGUAGCACAAGCCUAAUUGAGAACAAUUCAAGACUAACGAUACAAAUCUAUCUGACUAGAAAGAGUUUUAAAAAACAACAAGACAUCGGGAAACAAUUGAUUCACUUCAAGGUAUAAUGUAAUGGAACAUCCUAUGAAUUAGUGGCAACCACAAUACUGACUCUACUAUGGCCCUCCUUUCAAAUGAAAGAAAUUGGCACCAUCCCUUCAGUUUUUUCUUAACAAAAUAUCAAAGAUAAAUUCAUAAAUAAACCAUCAAAACUGUAUAAAAUGUUUGUAAGACAUGUACAAUUACAAAAUUAUAAGUUCUCCUCAGAAACAGAGUUCUCUAAGUAUCCAUACACAAACAAGAAAAGCAAAAGCUUAAACAGUUAGCUUAUAGCAAAAUCAAUGUCCCCAUUUCUCUAAACCACACCUGCUGGUGGUAGGUUCCCAUCUUCACUCAUUUCCCGCUUUCUUUUAAGCACACAAUGAUCAAGCACAAAACAGCAAACUUUUAAAGAACUCAUAUUACACCACAUAUGGUUCUAAAGAAAACUCAUCCAUAUCCAAUAUGCAAGCCCUAAACUUAGUAAAAAGAGUUAUAAAAAAAAUAUGUCGAAUUAACAAGCAUUAUUCUCAAACAAAAAGUAUGAUAUGGUUGGGAGUUUACAAGUUCAAAAUGAUAUACACAGGUUAAUUGUCUUACACUUUAGAUAUCAUCUUCAACAAACAAAAUAGAUACCAAUUAGACUUGUAAGAAGGUUAAAUGCAAUGGUCAUAAAGAUUCAUACUAAGCCACCAAAUGCCAAUCAAUAACUGCUACAAAAACCAUAAUAAAACCAUAAUAAAACUAAAAAUACAACAGCACUAAAAUGCCAACACAACAUCACUACAUUAGCAAUACACUAGCAAAAAAACACAAUACGACAGCAAUAGCAACAGCAACACAACAGCAGUGCAAGCAUCAGUCCACAAAGAACAAACCCAUUCACUGUUUGAAACAAGGAAUCAUCAUACUAAGAUCAUUUCAGAGAAACCCCAAAACCAAUUUCGAUGAAACCCCUAAACCAAUUUCAGAGAAACCCCUAAACCUUCAACCAAUUUCGAACAAACCCCUAAACUAAUUUCAGAGAAACCCCUAAACCUUCAACCAAUUUCGAACAAACCCCUCAACCAAUUUCAGAGAAAUGCAUAAACCCUAAACCAACUUCAGAGAAACCCUUAAACUGUAAGAAAAUGCCGAUGAACAGUACCUGUCGCUGGGAGAGGAAGAGAGAAGAGAGAGUCGGAGCUGAGCGACGAGAGAUGAGAGAGUCAGAGCAAAGCCACGGGAGAGUGAAGAGAAACAGAGCAGAGCCAAGAGAGAGAGCCGAGAGAGAACUUCAGCAAAACAGAGAGAAUAAAAUUUCAGCAAAAGUGAUAUGUGUGCAAUAAGGGGGCAAUAAAUAUAUAUUUAUAGGUUAUAGUUCCAAAUUUUUUUAAAAAGGGUGGUAUUUUCAGUUACAAUUAUAAAAAUGGUGGCAUUUAGGGCUAUUUCCCAAUAAAAUAAAGGUUGAAAGUAAAUACCUGAUUUUCCGAAACCACCCAUUCCAAAAAUCUUGUGCGUCCUGAUGCAAAUAUAUCUUUUCUGAACGGUCGUUGGAGGUUCUUAGUUGCAGAUAUAACAGCAAAUCCCUUUGAAAUGGUAAACAUGAUCACUCCAAAUAUGACCCACUGAAAUUGAUAAAACAAAUAUGAAAUCAAUAUUUUUAUCUUCCUUUUGGUCAUAAAUUCUGCUGUCAAACUAAAAAUUAAAGAAAAACUUACCUGACUUUUCUUUCUCUGUUUAGACUUUGGCCGCUUGAUGUAUGUAUGAGGUGAAGAAUUAGAGAGUUCUUCCUUUCUAAUUUUAUAGCCAAAAAGAUCACCAAAGAAUUAGAGACUUCUAAAUAGAUGAUGAAAACUGAUGGGUGUAAAAUAUGUGGCUUUAUGUUUAUAUAGCAGAGGUUGUCUGAAUUUUUUGUUUUUGUUUUUCUAUUUCUUUUGUUUUUGAACUUUUAGAAACUCAAUAGUGAUAAGGUAGUCACGUACUCUCUGCAAACUACCUCUCUCAUGUUCAUAUCCCAAUGGAUGGAUAGACACAAGACUUCUUUUUUACUCGUUAUCUCCGAACUAAUGCACUUGCUGAAACGCAAUGGUAGGCAGCAAUUCAAAUGCUAAACCCAAAGACACGCACCAGUCUCUAGGCUUGGCUUUUACCAAAAAGUUGAGGACACUAGUCAAUCGGCUAUCACUUUUUCAAUCCUGCUCUGUUGGUAAGAUUUGGAAAAAGAUUCUGUAAUGUUCCAAGCACGAGAAAGUUUAUUGAUAACGUGGAAAAAAGCACAAACUUCCAAAUUCCAAUUCAUUUCAAUCCUAAUUUUUCUUAAAAGACUUGUAUGUAUCACAAAUUAAUCACGUCUGCCACGUACAAGGAUUUUAUUCUAUAUGGUGCAACACGAUUAAAUGAAAAUAACAAGAUAGUAUUAUUCUCGUCACAUACAAUUUCUUUUUUUAAUUUCUUAAGCCUCUCUAUUGUAGUAUGAAAAAUCACAACUACAAGACAAGAUAGUGUUUGUCUUCAGAUAAGCACUCAAGGCCAUCCUUGCCUUUAGAGUUCAAGAGGAAUUUUCCAGAGCUUUAAAUUUAAAGUUUUUUUUUUUUGUGUGUGUGUGUGUGUGUGUGUGUGUGUGGGUAAAAGGAGUAUUAUAUUAAAAAGAAUAACACAUCAGUAAAGGGCUACAAACAACAAAGACCAACCAGAGAGGCCAGUCACAAAACAGUAAACCAAACAACAGGAAAAAAAAACUGAAAGAAGAAAGCUUAGAAAGCGUCAAGUUCGGUGGCAAGGUAAACCAUCCCGUGAAAGUAUGAAGACCAGGGCGAUUGGAGGUCGAAUGACCCAAGCCUCAGCGCACAACCCCCUUCUUGCUUGAGGAGCCACCCAGUCAGUUGCAUGGUGGCAUGUCGAGGAGUCCAUGUCCACCAGAGAGAGGAGAAUGGAGCUUUUAGCAUUCUAAUGUCAUAGAGGGUAAAGAGUCCAAUUUGAGACAGAAAUAUCUCCCUGGACAGCAGCAAAACAAACCUUGGAAUCAGUUUCCACAAUAACAUUAGUGAAACCUCUUACAUGGACCAGCUCUAAUCCACUUCGGAUCGCAUGACACUGAGCCUGCACAACUGGUGAUGACUGAAAACAAUGCGCACUGCCAUCAAGCAGACUACCAGUAUGAUCCUUUAUCACUACCCCUGCAGAGCCUGCAUUCGUAACUUUGUCCCACGCAUUGACACAGUUAAUUUUGACAGUCCCCAACAGAGGAUUGACCCACAGAUGACUGUCCAAAGGUGGAGAGUUGAAAUGGUUUCUAUCAUCUUUCAGUCUCAUAUGUGAUAGGAAUUCCACAACACUUCUGUCGGCCAAUGAGGCCGUGAGCUCUGGCGAUGGUGAGCAGAAAUUUGAUCUGUCAUACACCAAAUUAUAACGCGUUUUCCAAAUAGCUGAGCUAGUAAAGGCAAAAUGAGUUAUAAUCCAUCAUUUCUCUCCUCCGAAUUAAAGGUCUCACACAACCAAAGAUCAUUAAUCCACCUAUCUAACGAAGUGAAAGCUUGAGAGGCAGAGGUCUGUAAGCAAUACAAGUGGCAAACCACACUCUGGCAGCCCAAGGGCGAAGGAAGCUUGUAUGCUCAGCGGAUUCAGAUUGUCCAUGGAAAAAAGGCAAAUAAGAGACUGGCAGAGCUUGCGCCUGAAAAGGACCUCAAAAGUGGGAAGGAAACCAUUGACUGCGCACCGUAGAAAAAAAUUUGAUUUUGGGGAGCGUUUGGCAAUUAUGAAUGCGAAGCCAGACUUUAGAAUCAAUCACAUGGGAAGAGCUUGCCUUCAUCACAACCUGAUACUUUUUAUACCCCAUGAGGUAGUAAUAUCCUGAUUUGAUUAUCUCCCAUUCAUAGUGUAUGGCCAAAUAAGUCUGUCAGGGAUAUCAAAAUUGCUGAUAGGAAUUGCCAUGAUUGCUUGGACAUCCAGCUGCGAAAUAAACGCAUUGAUUUUAGAGAGGUCCCAAGUGUGACUAUGUCUAUCCAUCAGAUCAGCAACAACAAUUAGAGCAUGUUGAGGCACAGGGCAAGUAGGCCUAAGGUACCUAGGGUCAUUUUGAGGUAGCCAAAGUAUCAGACCACAUAUUAAUUCAAUUGCCAUGCAUAACUUGCCAUCUUGCUCCUCUAAAAAGAAGCUCGCGCCCCACCGAAAGGCUAUUCCAAAUGUGUUCAGAUCCUUUGUCCAUGUUUUUUUCUGUCCCUCCCUCUCUGUAACACUCCGACCCUUUUGUAAUUAUUUUAUUUACUUAUUUAAUUGUGAAAUUACAUUUUUGUCCUUGAAGUAGGGGCACUUUAGUCACUUUUUUUGAAAAGAAAUUUAGGGAAUUGAGAGGCACCAUUGCGUAGAGCUCAUCGAUACGAGUUUGUAGACAGGUGGCAUGCUUAAUUUCGAGUUGUAACGAGAGCGUAAAGGUCUAGAAACGAAAAAGACAUAUAGGGAAUUUCUGGAAGGCUUAUUUACUGUAGUGCCCCCUAAAACUUCGGUCAAAUCUCACUUUAUCCCUGUAGGGGCUUUUUCAUUCCAGCAGCUACUGAUGGGCCUGGGCAGCUAUAAAGAGCGAAAUGGGUGAAAUUGCCCCUUGAGUCUGAGUUCAAGGAUCAGACCCUAAGAGUGUUUCGAAAUGGUAGCUGAGCCUUAGGAAACACCUUGAUCUUCUUCACUAAUGAAACCAACAAUCGCUUACAGAUAAAUUCUUCGCUUAGCAUGAGAAGCUUGUGGUAUGGGAGCUGAGCAUUCAUGAGUUUAGCAUGAGAGAGAGAAAGAGCUGCGAUUUCCAGAAGAAGAUGGGAGGAGAUGGCGGAAUAUGGCUCGAAAUUGCAGGGGUUUCAGGAAUAAGAGAUGAAGAUUGCUCUAUGGAUGUGUGUUUAUGGAAAGAGAGGAAGAAGAUGGAAGCAUGGGUGGCUUUAGCAUAUUUCCAGCAGCUUGACGAAAGCUUCGUCAAGCUCUUGGGUUGCACGACAGAAGAGAAAAUGGAAAGAGAUGGAGGAGUAAGGCUCGAAAAUUGCAGGGGUUUCAGGGAUGAGACAUGAUGCUUGCUCUCUAGAUGUGGGUUUUGAGAGAGAGAAAGGAGGAAGAUGGAAGAAAAAAGCAUGAAAUUGAAGGGUUCCAGAGGAGAUGCUUGCCUUCAAUGAAUUCUCAUGGUUGCUGGGAGGCUUGCAGCAACCAAGGUGAGUUGUUUUUGCUGGGUAGGAAGUGGCUCCUUUUAUAGGCACUGAAAACCUUAAUUUUAUCAAACCACCCUCUCCCCUUUUCCUUCACUUUCUUCCAUUCCAUCUUACUUGGUGAAACUUCCCUAGCCUGAGCAUGUAGGCAUGAAGCUUUUUGGAGUUCCAAGGUCCUCAGGUAGCUGGACUUCUCCAUGUGGGUGAGGAGCCACCCACUUUUGCUUCUUGUUUUCUCACCAAAGCUUGAAGAGGAAAGAAUGGGUAUUGGCGCUAGUCAAAAGGUGAUCGACACAUGGGUUUGCUUGGUUUUGAUGGUUUUGACAGAUAUGCUGGAUAUUUUCCACGAUACUAGGUUGGGCUAUUGGUAUCUUGUUUCCAACGGCCUGUGAGUUUGCUCAAGUUGCUGGAAACAGCCUAUUUGAUCAAGAUGCUGGAUAUUUUGGCUGAUGUGAGAUUUUUCCAAGUGUUUGCAAGCCAUUGGAUAUUUUCCUAAGCUAUUGGGCCACUCAUUCUCUCUCAGACUUACCCAUAUGUUUGGGCUCAAGAAAUGGGCUCGAGUUUUGGUGCUCCUAAGCAACACAAAACUUCCACUUCUUGGCCCAUCAAUGGGUCUCGUGAAUGCUCGUAACCAUCCAUACCACAACCCCCUCAGCAAGCCCAGGCAUUCGAGUGGCUUGGGCCCACUUAAGCUUAUAGUGUGGUAUGUUGCUUAAAUAAGAAUUUUCCGCUUGGUGUUGUACUGGGCCGAAAAUAUAUUUGGGCCCAGCCUUGGAUGUUUUUUGGGCCUCAACAACCCCCUCAAAGUUAAAGUAACCCACUUAACCUCCUUGACCAUUAUUUUGUGUUCCUCUUUACCCCUCACUGUUGUCUCCAUUAAUAACUCUGUCAAUUUUUAUGACAUGGCAUGACUAUUUUAGUCUUUUUACCACAAGUGAUGAUGUGCCAUGUGAAUGUCCCACUUUUUUUUGUUUAAAUUGAUUUAAAUAUAUAAUAAAAUAUUAAAAUAAUGUAAUUACUUAUUCAAUUAAAAAAUAUAUAGAAAAAUGGAAAAAUUAAUAAAUAAAAAUCUUUUUUCUCUAUGCUUUAAGACAAAAACCUACCUAGAUCCAACUCUCCCCAAAGAUCAAUCUCUAUCCCCCAAAGAAUGGCCUUAUCCUUCCUCAUUUCUCCUCUCUCUGCAACCAACCACCGUAACAUCAAUUAUAACCACACCCCCAUCCCCACCAACCAUACCAUCAGAGGACCCGCACUACAUGAUCGAGCUUGAGACGUUGACGGUGAGUGUUGUCACCGCACUCUCUUUCUUUAAAAGUAAUCUGCUUCCUCUUCCACACUUUGACCGUCUCGUCUGCAGCCCCAGUGAACAUAAACCCCUCGACGCUGGGGACAACAGAGUUGUCGUCGUGGGCGUGGAUACAUGAAACGGAGCCAGAGUGCUUGAUCCAGAGGGUUUUCUAACUUUUGUUUUGAAUUAUUGUUUAAAAAGCUAGUGAUUUAGGUCUGUCCAUUUGAUUUAAAGUAAAAAUGUUUCAAUUUAGGUAUACAAUGAGGGAAUUUUGGGUUUGAAUUUGAGGAUUGAAGGUUGGGAUUUGGAGAUGAUUAGAUUGGAGACGGUGCCUGAGAAAACCCAGAAAUGCUUUGGUGGAGUGAAAGAGAAAAUGGCCAACAACAAGAAGAGGAAGGCCAAAGGAAGGCGCAAGAGGAGUAACAAGUGUUUGGCUCUCAAGAAAGUGAAGGAAUUGUCAUUUGCUUCUAUGUUUAGAAUUUUCGAGAGAUUCUUGUCUUGCUCUGCUAGUGUAGAUGUUUUGAAUUAAGUUUCUUAAUUAAGUUUUUUUCAUUUAUAAUCCAAACAGUAUGGUUGUUGUUUGUGCUUUUUGUUUAUGUAAUUUUGUGUUAGAUAUAUAAAAGCUAAGAAAGGGAAGAGAAAAUAGGGCCCCAUAUAUAUUUGAUACUCUAAAAAGAAAAAUCUACAUGCCAGAAACCAUGUAAAUUCCAGACAUUUGAUUAUUUCAUAAAAUAAAAUAAAAACUAUAUUUUUUUAUGAAAAAAGUUGAAGACUUGAAAAAGAAGGAAGUAGUAGCUAAAGUUGUUGUUCUUCUUGUUGUUUAUAUUCUUUUUCAUGUUUUGGAAAUUGGAAGGAAGAAGCAUAGAGGAGCGGAGAAGGGCUAAGGAAGUCACCUCAGCUGGUGUUGCUGGGAAGAGUUGGAUUUGGGUAGGGUUUUAUUUAUUUAUAUUUUAUUUUUAAAGCAUAGAGAAGAAAAAAAUUUAUUUAUUAAUUUUUCCAUUUUAUUUAUAUAUAUUUUUAAUUAAACAAGUAAUUACAUUAUUUUAUAUUUUAUUCAAUUUAAACCAAAAAAAGUGGCAUAUUCACAUGGCACAUCAUCACUUGUGGUAAAAAAGCCUAAAAUAACCUUGCCAUAUCAUCAAAACUAACAGAGUUAUUAAUAGAGAUACGGUGAGGGGUAAAUUGAAACACAAAAUCACGAUAAAGGAGGUUAAGUGGGCCACUUUAACUUUGAGGGGUAAAGUGAGAUUUGACCAAAGUUUCAGGGGACACUAUAAUAAAUAAGCUCUUCUGGAAUUUGUUCAAAAACCCUAGAAAUACCCUAGCGCUCCUUCUUCCUCGCAGGCGCUUCUCUCUACUCGCCUGACUCUCUCUCUCUCUCUCUCUCUCUCUCUCUCUCUCUCUCUCUCUCUCACCUCUCUCGCAUCACACACUAGGCCGACCACUUUGGCUGGCAAUUUCUCCCAGCUCCGGCCACCUCUGGCGACCAUCCACCCCACAAACAUGGGCCCCUGCAUUUUUUUGGUUUUAAUAUGAAAAUACCAUUUUGCCCCUCCAUUUAACAGAAAAAGUUAACAAAAUUGACGGCAGGACCAUUUGUCCUAAUGAAAGUGAAGUUAAAGGACCAUGUGAACGAUUUUGGAAAUUGAGGGACUUAAAUGCAAAUCGGGUCUAAGUUCAGGGACUAAUAAAACGAUUAACCUGAAAUUAAAACCUUUGAAUUUUAUUUGAAGUCUUAAGCAUCAAAGAUUCUUUCACUAGCACCACCCCAGUGUUCUAGCAGCUCAAACGUUUCUUUGAUGGAAGGUCAUUCAAGUCUUUUAAUUUAAAUUAUGGAAAUUCAGGGUAUUUGCUUCUUUUUAUUACAAAUGGUUCUUGAGUUUUACGAAAUUAUCAUAUUUAGUCCUUUAUGUUUUUGUUUUUGUGAUAUGGCUGGUCCUUAAUGUUACUCCAUGUACAUCAAAUUGUCCCUCCGUAAAAAAUUCUGUUAAAUUGAUGAUGUGGCACAUAUGUAGAGCCGACACAUUCAAUUAAUGAUAAAAAGCAACGUGGCUUUAAAUAUAAAAUAUAAUAUAUUUUAAAUAUUUUAAAAAGUAAAAUUCAUAAAACAUUAAAAAUAUAUAUAUUUUUUAGAAAAAAAAAAAAAACUUGUAGCAUCCCUACCCUUCCCCCUCCCCUUUCCCUCUCUCUCUCUUUCCCCUAUGCGUUCUCCCUCUCCUUAUGUUUUAUUUCUCCCACACCCACAACCCACCCUAGCCUCGCCCACAACCACCCACCCCACAUCUCUGAGCCUUACACGUGACCCAACGCCCACGCCCACAACCCGUACUACCCACUCCACACCUCCGAGCCUUACCUCUCUACCUCUCGCUCCCCCCUCUUCUCCUCUCUCCCUUUCUCUCACUUCCCUUUUCUCUCUCUCUACCUCCGGUUUUUUUUAAUAAUGAUUUUUCAAAAUUUAAAACUUUUUAUUUAUUAUGGAUUUUAAGUUUUAAAAUAUAUUGAAUUUAUUAUGUUUUAUAUAUAAGGCCACGUGUCUUUAUAUCAUUAGAUGUGUGGGCUCUACAUAUGUGCCACGUCAGCAAUUUAAUAGAUUUUUUUACGGAAUCUCAAGAACCAUUUGUGAUGUUACACUUAGUAGCGUUAAGGACCAACCAUGUCACAAAAAAACAUAAAGGACCAAAAAUGAUAAUUUCACGAAUCUGACCAUUUCUGAUAAAAACCCUAAUCAAUAUUAUGGUGAAUCAGUUUACCUAGAAAAGACGCUGUCAACAUUUAUUACGAAAUGUGAAAAAAAAAAGAAAUUUAUUUCAAGGGUUAAUCGUUUUAUUAGUCCCCCAACUUUGACCGGAUUUGCAUUUGAGUACCUCAAUUUCCAAAAUGGUACCCGCGGUCCUUUAACUUUAAUUUCGCUUGGACAACUAGUCCCACCGUUACUUCUGUCAAUUUUUUGGUUAAAUUUAGGGGUAGAUGGAUCUUUUCAAGUUGGUUUUGAGGGACCAAAAAGACUUUUAUCUCCAGCACAGAGUAAUUGGAGUUCUCCAUGGUCACCACCACUUGAUUUCCCUUACUUGUAUUGCCCUUUACCCACCACCACCUGGAAAAAUCCAAGCUUGGAGCCAUUUUUGCUUUAACCUCUCAGUCUUAACUGAACUGUUAUGAAGUACAAAAGUAGGUUACCAAAUCCAACUCACAGAAUCUUGAACCUCACUGUGACCAGUAAAUCUGCAGAAAUUAGAUCUCAGCACUGAAAUGCUCAAAAACCAUUUCAGGUAUAAGCACAUAAGAACAUAGCCAACACUAAAAAUUGAAAAUUUAGCAGGAAGCCUUCAAACUCAGAGACCAAAUUUAAGAAAACUCACAAACCCAUUUGAGACCUGGUUAAAAGAACCAGAUCCAACACUGCAACAACUUCACAAAACCAGUUCAAGCCUCAGCAUUUCAAACCAAAUGCAGCAAAAUAGAAAGACAGAGAGAGAAGUAUGUGUGUGGGUGUUUCUUACGGGGAAUUACCAUUGUGGGGAAAUGUUUUUAAGCAUUUGUUCAACGGUUUUAGUCACUUGAUUAGCCCAUUAAAGAAGCAAACACAGACCCCAUAUUACCUUUCCACAUAUUACAAUUACUGGUUUGGAAUAAAAGUGCCUCUAAAUCCAUAAUUCAUUAUAAGAAAUUGUCGUCGCAUGUGUGUUGGCUUCUCCUACUAACCUAAAACAAUACAAAAAGUUAUCAAUUGAAAGGAACACUGGAACCACCACUAGAGCCUACAACCUACAACCAUGGUGGUUAUGGUCUUCUAACUUUCAGUUUCAAAGAGAACCAGGAAAAACCCCUGGGCGAAGACGCUCACUUCAUCUGCCAUGAUGCCCAGACCAUAGGAGUGGCGGACGGGUCGGCGGCUAGGCCAGGAAAGGAGUCGAAGCAGGCAAGUAAUCUGCUCUCCAAGCUUCCAAUCUUGACGAUUCCAACUUUUACUCAACCAAUAUGCGAGUUGCAGAAGUGGAUUGCAAUUUUUGGUUCUUUAGGUUUUUUGCGGCAAGCUCUCCAAGGUCUAUUUCAGAGGGAAGGCAAGUUGCAGAAGGGGGAUAGUAAAACAAACCUAAAAGACCCAUCUACCCUUAAUUUUAACGAAAAAAUUGACAUAAGUAACGGUGGGACUAGUUGUCCAAACGAAACUCAAGUUAAAGGACCACGAGUACCAUUUUGGAAAUUGAAAUACUCAAAUGCAAAUCCAGUCAAAAUUAAGUAACUAAUAAAACAAUUAACCCUUAUUUCAAUGGUAUCUUGUAUAGUUAUAAUUAUUAAGUUGAGUCCAUGCAUGCAUGCAUGCAUGUUUGACUAGUAAUAGAGGAGUGGGUAAGAAGCCUCUUUUGUUUAAUUAACCAUAAUUCAAACAAUAUGUUGCUUUGAAUAAUAUCUUAUUAGUUGAGUUAGAAUUAAGGUCAUCACUAUUAAUUGAAGUAAAAUUUCCCUUUGAGCAGUUGAAAUAGCCAUGCCGUGAACUAAGCUUGUCCCUAAUCAUGGAAAGCCCAAACAAUUAGUUUUCGUUAAGUACAGUUAACUGUGCUUGUUUUUUUUUUCCUUUGUUUGCAAGAUAAAAUGGCUUGAAAAAUACUGUUUGUCAUAACACAAAGUUAUACACUUUCGGUUCAUAAUUUUGACAUGGAUAUGGACCAAACCCAUUUUAUACUUGAUAGUCAAGUUAGAAGAACUGCGACUGGUGCUUGCUUUAGUUAUCUGAGUAGUACUUGUUUAUUAUAGAGAUAUUUAGUGAUAUACCCAUUUCUAGCACUAAUAUUAUAAAUAAACCCUACACAAUUGAAUUCCUAUAAACAAACCCAAAAAAAACCCAAAAAAUGAUAGCUGGCCUUAUUGAAUUUAAUAUUGAUUAUUAAAUUACUUUGAUGGCCUAUUGAGUGCUUUGGGUAUUUUUAUGAGAUUUUGGGGUUGGGCUUGUUUUAAGAAAUUGAUGGCAGUUUUGUAAUUUAUAAGAAGUUAAAAGCUUUUUUGUUAUGUUGUAAAUGGGCUUUGGGUGUGUUUCUAAAGUCCAUUUUAUAUAGGGUAUUUUUAUAAUUUGGGCUCCCAUAUUGGGUAUAAUAGUGAAUCUCCCUUUAUUAUAUUAUAAUUAUUAUUUUUUGUGGUCUCAGAAACUGGAAUUCAUUCAGUACUUGUUAACUAAUUAGAUGAGUAAUAUACGAUGCUAUGGUAGCACACUAAGAACUGUACGGCACACUAGUAUUAGUAUAGUAUGUGUGAAUUUAAUACAUUAUCGCAUCUCUAAAUAGAAAAAGUCUUUUUUUUAAAAAAACAAAAAGAUACUGUACAGCACAUAGUUGGUACACUAAUGCUAUGCGAUUGUGAUCUUAACAUGUAAAAAUUUGCGUUUAGUGCCUAUUACAGAGAAGACUCUGCUAGAUUAUCGAUAGAUCCCUCCUUGUUUGUCCAAGUAGGGAUUAAGGAUAGUUUAAGUAGUGGGCUCACUUCUCUCGAGUUUAUCCAAACGGAAAUCUGAGAGUGGGUCUUGACAAAUAGAGUACAACGUACAUAUCAACAAAAACAAAUAGUAGUCUAUAUAUAGCAACACCUUUCAAGCCAUUGCGAAUGAAUCUGCUCAUUCUAUUGUUUAUUUAUUUAUUAUUUUUUUGAGAGAGCAUAUUCUAUUGAUGUUAAUUCAAAGCUUCCUCCAGACUAGCUUUAUGCGGUCGCUACUUACAAAAGCAGGAAUGCAUAUUCUUAUAAAAAUGCAUUAAUUAUCCUCAUAUUUGGACUUACUGAAUACCAUUUCUUCUGUUUGGUCCGUUAUUGCAUCAACUCCCAACCUUUUUUUUUUUUUUUUACUUGGGUUUUCUUUUACUGUUUUUUACAAGGGGAAUUAAUUUUGUACCAACUCAUUCUAUGCUUUCUUGGAGGAAGGCAAUGUGAUUGUGACUCAAGUGGUUAAGAGUAUUUACCCUUACAUCCGAGAUUCUAGGUUCAAUUCUCUCUUCUUCAAAUCUCUCUUGUAUAUCAAAAUAAUAUUAACAAAAAAAAGAAGGAACAUAAAAAGUUUCAACAUAUAUAUAUAUAUAAUAUAUGGGAUAAUGGAAGAUUUGAAAGAGAAGAGAGAUGGCCAAUGCGGGGUUACUAUAGUGGCUGUGACCCUCCCCCUUCUUUCCUGCUUGGCACUCAUGAUCGAAACCCCAGGGUUGUCUUUCCUCCUAAUGUAACAAAAAUAAUAAUAAUAAAGAGAGAGAGGUGUGAACACAUAAUAUUUAAGGUAAUGGAUUAACUUGAGUACCAAGGAAGAGAAGGGCAUAACAAUAUAGCUAGCAAAAGAACCGUACAUUUAAAAUAAGGUGCACAUACAAUGAAUAUUGGAAGCCAUGUGAGGGUUAACUAUAAGCAACAACCUACCUGUACGUACAAGAAAUAAUGAAAAGCAUAUUAUAUCCCUUCCUCAUGUAAUAUAAGUAGCAACCUAAGUAAACUAAUUUCGGCGCCCUUUGCUUGCUUUGUCAUUUUCAUUAACAAAUUCAUUAGAUUUCAAGCCUAUAAAUACAAACAAUCGCAUCGUCAAUCUCCAACUCAUUAACCUCUAUCUCUAUAUCUCUCUUUCUCUCUCACUUUUAUCACAAAAAAAUUCGGAAAAAACCAAGUCCUAGUGUUCAAAUGGCAAACUCCACAAGCCUCAUUGUUCUCUCACUUGCUUUUGUCUUCAUGAUUAACUCAGCCUUAGCCGCUAAAGCCCCAUACAAUGUGGCCAGUUUAGGAGGCAAAGGAGAUGGGAAGACUGAGUCAACCAAAGCCUUCAUUUCUGCAUGGGCCAAAGCUUGUGCCUCGGCGGAGCCGGCUGUCAUUUACGUGCCGAGGGGGAGGUUCUUGCUGCACAAUGUAGUGUUCGCCGGGCCUUGCAAAAAUAACGCAAUCACCUUCCGCAUUGCCGGCACUCUUGUAGCCCCAUCCGAUUACCGGGUCAUUGGAAAUGCCGAUAACUGGAUUUCCUUUGAGGAUGUGGAGGGGGUUACUAUAUCUGGUGGAAUUCUUGAUGGCAAAGGCACCGACUUGUGGGCUUGCAAGGCAGCAGGCAAGAGUUGCCCCAGUGGAGCAACGGUAAUUAAUUAACUAGUUUAACUAUCAAGUUAAUGCAUGUGCAUUUAGCCUUAUAUAAUGAGCAUGCUUAAGAAUUGAUUUUGUGUGCUACAUCACAUGCGCAGACAUUGAGUUUUUCUAACUCCAACGACAUCAAGGUUAGUGGCGUGAUAUCCCUAAACAGCCAAAUGUUCCACAUAGUCAUCAACGGCUGCCAUAAUGUGAAAAUGCAAAGUGUUAAAGUUUCUGCCUCCGGGCAGAGCCCCAACACUGAUGGCAUUCACGUCCAGAUGUCAUCCAGCGUCACGAUUCUCAACUCGAAGAUCGCAACGGGUGACGACUGUGUCUCAAUCGGUCCCGGUACUUCAGAUUUGUGGAUCGAAAACAUUAAAUGUGGACCCGGCCAUGGAAUCAGGUAGAGGAUGGCAAAAUUAUAUGCAUGAAUGAUUGAAUUAUAUGUUCUUUAUGUUAAAUUAACAUUGUUUUGGUUGGUGUUUCAGCAUUGGGAGUCUAGGAAAGGACCAAGAAGAGGCUGGUGUGCAAAAUGUAACAGUUAAAUCGAUUACCUUUUUCAAUACUCAAAAUGGUUUGAGGAUCAAAUCGUGGGGGAGGCCUAGCACUGGAUUUGCUAAGGACAUUCUUUUCCAACAUGCUGUAAUGCUCAAUGUCCAAAAUCCGAUUGUUAUCGAUCAAAAUUAUUGCCCGGACAACAAAGGCUGCCCUGGUCAGGUAAAUUCGAUUACAACUAAAUAUUAUUUUCUUUUAUGCCCAGCAGAUAGUUGUUUAAUUUUUUUUUUAUAAACAGGUCUCUGGAGUUAAAAUCAGCGAUGUGACAUACCAAGACAUCCAUGGUACAUCGGCAACAGAAGUUGCAGUUAAGUUCGAUUGUAGUUCCAAGUACCCAUGUAGCAAUAUCAAAAUGAAGGAUGUGAAGCUCACUUACAAGAAUCAAGCAGCUGAAGCUUCAUGUAGCCAUGCAGCUGGAACAUCUCAUGGGACGGUGCAACCUACAAGUUGUUUGUAGGCACGAAAAAUGCAAACAAAUUUAUAUUUUGUUUGUACAAAAAUAUUAUAGCAAGAUUUUUAGUGAAUUACGUAGGUCAAUUAAUGAAGUAAUUGUUUGGUCCUGUGGCGUUGGCAGCCCACAUUGGGUUUCCUCUGAGCCUGGUCUUGCAAUCAGUCGAUGGGUAUUUGUAUCAUAAAUUGUACUAAGUCAUAUUAUUGUUGGGAGCAUUUUUGCUUACCAUUUUAAUUUAAUGUGUAUCUUUGUCACUUUUCUCAAGACUUGACUCAUGCUUAUAAGUAUAACCAUAGUUAAUUCCUUACUUUUUCAUUUAUUUUUCUGAUCACAAUAUCAUGAGAGAAACAGUACUUUAAUAAUAUAUUCCGGGAUUUUACCCUUCUUCACUUGUAGCACAACUCACUCUUUCAUUUUCCUUGAAAAGCUUUAAUCCAUACAAUAAACCCCAUUUUUUCCUGUUGCCUAGCGAAACCCCCUGAUGUCUCCGACUUAAUGGUUUUCAAUUUGUGUAAUUUUUAUGCAAGGAUGAUUUUUGAAUGAUGACUUAAAACAUAGACAGUUCGUAUAUUAUUGGACGACUUAUUUGGGAAAAACGUCAAUUACUGUAAAAUUCAUGAUGGACCCUACAGGGAUAUCCCUCAAUAGAAGAGGAUUAUAUUAUUUAAGAAAACAACGGCAUCUUAUUUGUGAAGUGUAAUCCAAUGAUUAGAAGGGUCUAGUUGGAGAUUAUAUUUCAAAGAUAAUCCAAGCAAAAAAUGGGAUAAACUAUAAAUUUAAUGGUUUAGCCAUUUAAAUGAUAAAACAGUUUUCUAUUUGAACCAUUUUCUACAAGAAUGACCUUUGAAGAAGAACCUAAAAUAUGAACUGUCUCCAUCACUAAAUUGAAGAGAUAUUUAGUCAUAUACCUAUUCUUAGCACUAAUAAUAUAGAUAGACCCUACACCAUUUAAUUUCUAUAAACAAACUAAAAAAAACCCAAAAAAUGACAACUAGCCCCAUUGACAUUAAUUUUGAUUAUUAAAUUACUUUGAUGUCCUAUUGAGUGUUUUAUGUUUUUUUAAUGAGGUUUUGGGAUUGGAUUUGUUUUAAGAAAUUAAUAGCAGUUUUGUAAUUUGAAAGAAGUUAAAAGCUUUUUUGUUAUGUUGUAAAUGGGUUUUGGGUGUGUUUGUAAAGUUUCAUUUCAUAUAGGAUUUUUUUUUUUAUAAUUUAGGCUCUUAUAUUUGAUAUAAUAGUGAAUCUCCCUAAAUUGAAUUGUGGGAUAGUCUUAAGAAAUUUUUUUCUUUUUUCUUUUUAGGAAAUUAGGUAUAUAUAGACCCAAUGUUAGAAAAAACCAACGUAAUUUCAAUUUUUUGAUAUAAACCCAUUGACUACCAUGACACGUUAACAAACUUCUGUUAUAACUCUUUUCUUUUUAUUUUUCACGAUAUGUACAAAUCCCAUACUGAUCUGAUGGUGUGCAUAUAUACAUAACGGUCAACCCCAAUCACAUGGCUAAACUUGCGCGAAACAGGGAAUCCCUGAAACAAGCAACCUGCAUUCAUGACUAAUAUUGUUGCAUAGCAUAAAUACAUGUGCAUCCCAAAAACACCGAUAUAUGUUGUAUCUGUAUAUGUGCAUACUAAUUGGGAAAAUUCUGCAUACAUAUGAAAGAGGAGACAUAUUAUUAUUUUGUUUUUGGUGCCAAAGAUAGGAAGGGGGAAGGGAGAUAUUCUCACACACGGAUAUCACGGGAGCGUGAAACUAGAACUAAUUGGAAGCACACCAAAAAUAUGGACCAAUCCAACUAACACCUCGUUAGUAAGGACGAGACAUAUUCAUAUGCUAAAAAAAACUUCAGGCCAAGACAAAACAAAAUGUAUUAUCGAUGGUCAUGUGAGAAUCCCAGCUUAAACGGAGCAGAUGCAGAUGCACUAGUAUAAAUUACUCAAUAUCUCUUCCUUGUGAUUAUAUCUCAUCUUCAAAAAGGCAACGAGGCAAUAAUUGAAUUGAAAAUAAAUUAAAGAGAAAAUUAAAUUCCUUAUCUUAAUAGUACACCGUACAUAUACACCAACAAAACAUAUAGUACAUUUUUCAACAACAACUAUAGCAAUCAUUUCACGCCGACACCACAAUGCACAUGGGAUUUGCAUGUUGAAUUUUGACAUUGAUAGCUACUUGUUCAUAUGACAAUUGCGUAGCUGAUCUUCUUAAUUUUCCUGAUCAUAUACAUAUAUAUCAAUUAUGGGUGGGUCGGCUAUGAGAUUUUGAGAGUCAUGUGCGAAACUUAACUCUCGACCCUCAUAUGAUGUAAUACGAGAGUACUAAAAUUUUUGGAAAGGGAUUGAACCUUUAGAUCUAAACUGUAGAGAGAAUAAUUAUUUCGUUGAAAUCAACAUAUUUUAAGCAUAAUAAUUCGGCUCAAGUCAAUUAUAUAUACAAGCAUUUGUCAAAUAGAAUGUGCUGCUCUUUAAAAAAUUGUUUGAUCAAAUAUAUUAAACAGUUUAUCCAAUAAUUAUUUGUAUCAUAACAUGUCUUUGAGCCAGAAUAAUGGGGGCUCACAUUUGGCGUGUUCUGCUUGACUAAUUAUUUAAUACAUCCAUAUUAUUAACCAACAAAGUUCUGACCUUGAAAAGCCCCAAAUCAUGCCCUAAACUAAUGAAAGCCGGCAUGCGAAAAAAUGCUGAAUUAGUAGUAUGUUUAUAAACUUGAAAUCGAAGUUAACAUAAAUCGGAGUGAACAUAAAUCGGAGUGAGUAUGAAUUGGAGUAAUCUGAAAGCAAAAAGAAAAUGGAGCCGAUUUUCAUUAAAUUGUUUACUAAAUUGUCAAAAAUCGAAAGGAAAACCACUGUGUCUUUACUAGAUAACCACUACGCCCUCCUCCCAUCCCCCAAAAAGCAAAGCAUUAUGUAUUGAUAUUUUCAAACCACGAAUUGUUAAGUAACGAAAUAUUAAUGGGUAUAAAUUAUAUAUAUAAUGGAACACCGAUGCUAUAAUCAUGUGGAUCAAUGUAGAAGAUGUGGUGUGUUCAAAUCAAACAACCAGUUUUUCUUGCAUCUUAUGCGCUAGCCCACACUUUGCACAAGAAAAUAGUGCAAUACAGGUACGACGUAAGAAGCAGUUCGUUAGGCUAUACUUUAUUAGAAUCUUCAGAGACGUCAAAGACAAAUUAUGUCUGAAUUAACAGUAACUAACUAAAUGACGUCAAAGACAAAGACUCCCCCAAAACACACACACGUACCAUGACUUGAACUUAGGACCUGUUGGGAGCACACCAAAAACCUGGACCAAUCCAACUAACACCCUAUUGGUACCUACUAGUCCCAUUUUAAAGAGACUAAAGAGGGGUGCAUGUGAACACCAAACUAAAGGCGACGGAUUAACUUGUGGUUCAAGGAAACGAAACACAUAAAAUUAGGAUUAGCACCGUACCCUAAAACAUGAUUCAAAGAAUGAGGAUGGGAGGUCAUGUCAUGUUUUGCUAAUAUUAUUUGUACAAUCUACGUGGCAAGUUACGUAAGGUCAUUUUCGUAAAAGAGAGCUUCAAAAUAAUAAUGAAAAAGGUCAUUUCGGCGCCACUUUCUUGCUUUUGUCAUUUUAAUUUGCAACCUCAUUACAUUAUUUGAAACUCAUAAAUACCCCCUCAAACCGUUUCAACUUCCUCACAACCACAUUUCUCUCCACUCCAACUCAUUUCCCUCUUCAUCUCCAUAUAUCUCUUACAAUUUCAUCACAAAAUCAUUGGAAAAACCCGAAGUUGUGUGCAAAUGGCAAACCCUAGAAGCCUAAUUGUUCUCUCACUAGCCUUUGUGUUCAUGAUCAACUCAGCCUUGGCCACUGCGGUUACAUACAAUGUGGCCAGCUUAGGAGCCAAAGCAAAUGGCAAGACUGACUCCACCAAAGCCUUCCUCUCUGCAUGGGCCAAAGCUUGUGCCUCUGUGAAGCCCGUUGUCAUUUACGUUCCGGCAGGGAGGUUCUUACUUCGCAAUGUGGUAUUCAGCGGGCCAUGCAAGAACAACGCCAUCACCUUCCGCAUUGCUGGAACCCUCGUGGCCCCGUCCAAUUACGGGGUCAUUGGAAAUGCCGAUAACUGGAUUUUCUUUCAACAUGUUAACGGGGUUACAAUAUCGGGUGGAAUUCUUGACGGCCAAGGCACCGCCUUGUGGGCUUGCAAGGCUUCGGGCAAGAGUUGUCCCAGCGGAGCAACGGUAUUUAACUAUAUUACUUAUCAACUUAUUGAUGACAUGCAAACCAUUAUCUCUCUGAUUAAGAUAAUGAAUAUAAUAUGCUUCCCAUGCAUGUGCUUAUAGGCCUUAUAUAAUAUAUAUUAGUAAUAAUUUUAAAGGUCAACGCAGGGACCAUUUGGGUUAUCUUUGUUAAUUGCUUGCAUCACGGGUUUAGAGAUAUAAGCAAGCUCAGAUUUCGUAAAGUUAUUAAAGACACAUGAUAUAUGUAAUCAAGAGCCUGAUGAAGUAUGUUUGUGCAGACAUUGGGUUUUUCCAACUCCAACAACAUUAAGGUGAGUGGCUUAAUAUCCCUCAACAGCCAAAUGUUCCACAUAGUCGUCAACGGCUGCCACAAUGUGAAAAUGGAUGGUGUUAGGGUUUCGGCGUCCAGCAAUAGCCCCAACACCGACGGGAUUCACGUUCAAAUGUCAUCCGGUGUUACCAUCCUCAACUCCAAGAUUGCAACUGGUGAUGAUUGUGUCUCAAUUGGCCCCGGAACCUCAAAUUUGUGGAUCGAAAAUGUUGCAUGUGGACCCGGUCAUGGAAUAAGGUAUGAAGUCAAAAUAUGCAUCUAUGAUUGAUAAAACUAACAAGCUGCCUAGUAUGCAAUAAUAUAUAUAUAUAUAUAUAUAUAUAUAUAUAUAUAUAUAUACUUCACAGAAUGUACAUAUUCGUUUGUGGGCUUUAUAUAUUUGUGAAUGUAACAUUUGUUUUGGUUGGUGGUUCAGCAUUGGGAGUCUAGGCAAGGAUCAACAAGAGGCUGGUGUGCAAAAUGUAACAGUUAAAACGGUUACUUUUACUGGUACCCAAAACGGUUUAAGGAUCAAGUCUUGGGGGAGGCCGAGCACUGGGUUUGCUAGGAACAUUCUUUUUCAACAUGCCGUAAUGAUCAAUGUCCAAAAUCCCAUUGUUAUCGACCAAAACUAUUGCCCUGAAAAAAAAGGGUGUCCUGGUCAGGUAAGAUAUCAACACAACGCCAUUUUCUUCGACAAAUAUAGCCAUCAAAUGAUUAUACAUGUCUAAUUUUAGAACGUACCAAAAGCAUUCAUAACCACUUGCUCUCAUUCGAUAAUUUUUGUGUUCGUUCAAGCAGGUUUCUGGAGUUCGAAUUAGCGAUGUGACAUACCAAGACAUCCACGGUUCAUCGGCAACAGAAGUUGCAGUUAAAUUUGACUGUAGUUCCAAGUACCCUUGCAGCAAGAUCAGAUUGGAGAAUGUGAAACUUACUUAUAAGAACCAAGUUGCUGUAGCUACAUGUAGCCAUGCAGGUGGAACAGCUGCGGGCAUGGUUCAACCUACAAGUUGUUUGUAGAGGGCAAAUACAAAUUUUUGUAUUAAGUCUGAAUCAUCGUGAAUCACAUAGAAGGAAAUUUAAAAUUUUGUCUCUAGAACAAUGGACAAAAAGAAGUAGAAUUGUACGAAAUUAUAGGGAAAUUUUAGUGUUAGGUCAAUGAAAUUGAAGUCAUUGCUUUAUCCUGUGGCGUUGGAAGCACAUUAUUGGUCUUCCUUUGAGCCUGGUCUUGUAAUCAGCUAAUUUCUCCAAACCCCUCGAAUUCGAUGGGUGUUUGUAUCAUGGAGUAUGAAGAUGCAUUUCUAUUUUUCAUUUCUAGCUUUUUAUGAUAUGAUUAAAUAAAAGGAUAAACCGUAUCGAAGUGCAAGGAACAAAUGAAAUUGACCUUCUUCCUAAAAAAUAUAUAUAACUUGUUCUGUUCUCUAAAACCUCUUCCGAGAACUACGACUACAAGCCAAGUCGGAAGCGACUCGCUUCUAUUCUCAUCGGAACUAUGACUAAAACCUCUUCCAAGAACUAUGGCGGGGUAUGCAUGCGAUGCCGGUUUUCCAAUCCCCAGUCUCAUUGAAAAGACCCUCUAUAUUUGAAAGUGCAAGGAACCAUUCUUCUAUAUAACAUUUUCCCAUCACAGUAUUUUGUUACAAAUUCGACAUUGUAUCUCCUUGUUAUAAGCAUAACCCUUAUUUCCAUAUUUCCUGCGCACAAUCAAAAUUAUAUAGAUUAGUAUAGUUUUUACCAUGCACUAUUAUAACCACUAGAGCCAUGACUAUCGAAAAAUCUUGUACCAACAAAACUGUUGGUGUAUAAGUGUGGCUGCUGAAAUGCAAUUAGAAUAGGAAGGUUCUAUUUUGGUUAGAAAGGCUGCGUUGGCUCAUAGUAAAAGUGUACAGCAGAGAAUGUAAUAGCUUAUGCCACUUGUCAUUAUCUCAUAGGGUAAUGAUUAAAUGGCUAAGAUUGAGUGAUGUAAUAGGGAAUAUUUCUUCUCUAACGGUUUUGUCAGGGUCACAAUAUAUGCAUGAUUUUGGUGCUGAGCUAAUUCAUAUAGCCAGCUUCUUCUCCAAGCUCUCUCUCUAUUCUCUAAAACUCUCUGCAUUUUCUUUGAAACCUAUUACAUGUUUGAUUGAAUUAAUAUGCAAGAUAAUGGUCUGCAUAUUCUAACAUGGCCUCAGAGCCAGGUUUGAUCAAGUAAUACUGGGCGUUUUUUCUGUGCUAAGCUAUUGAAGUUGCAACUGAGCUUGAGUUCUGCAGAUCUGAGUCUAACAUGGCUGGGUCAAGUGGUGGUGAAUUGAGAGCACCAAUUUUCAAUGGUGAGAACUACGAUUUCUGGAGCAUAAGGAUGAAGACCAUCUUCAAAUCUCAUGGACUGUGGGAUUUGGUAAUAAAAGGAUUUGAUGGUACGGAUCUGAAGAAGUCAGAUGAAUCUGAUGAUAAGAAAAAGGAGACAGAAGAAUCAAGUGAGAAAGGCAUGGUUGCUGAGGUACUCAUGAAGGAUACUAAGGCUCUUGGAUUGAUUCAAGGAGCAGUUUCAGAAGAGAUAUUCCCACGAAUCUCUCAUGAAGAAACAUCAAAAGGUGCCUGGAGUAUUCUGCAGCAAGAAUUCCAUGGAGAUAAGCAGGUAAGGAGUGUUAAAUCGCAAGGUCUUAAAAGAGAAUUUGAAUAUACAAGAACGAAGGAUGAUGAAUCCUUAACUGCCUAUGUUACUAAACUAUUUGAUUUGAUAAAUCAAAUGAGAAGUUAUGGGGAGGAAUUGCCUAGGGAGAGAAUUGUUCAAAAACUGCUUAUUAGUCUGCCAUCUACCUAUGACUCUAUCUGUUCAGUUAUUGAACACUCUAGAGAUCUGAAAGAGAUUGAGGUGCAGGAGGUUGUAGCCUCACUAAAGAGCUUUGAGUUGCGUUUAGAUAGGCAUUCUGAAAACAGAACAGAGAAGGCAUAUUUGCGAGCCUUAGUGUAGAUGCCAAACAGACUAAAACUGGAGAACAGAACAGCAAGCAAAAUAAGAAUUGGAAAUCCAAAGGCAAGAAGUGGGAUAACAAGGCAAGUGAAGGCACUAAAACUCCCUGCAAGCACUGUGGUAAGCUACAUUUUGGUGAAUGUCGAUUCGAGGGCAAGCCAAAGUGUUAUAACUGUGAUAAGCUUGGCCACAUUGCAAAAGACUGCUACAGCAAGAAAACACCACAGCAGGUCAACUAUGCUACUCAAGUGGAAGCUACACCAACAAUGUUCUAUGCUAGCAAUGCAAGUGGUGCUGGUGUAACAAGGGAUGAAGAGAUCUGGUAUUUGGACAGUGGGUGUAGUAAUCACAUGACAGGAAAAGAGGAUUUGCUGGUGGAUAUUGACAGAAAUGUGACUGCCAAGGUUGAAAUGGGAACUGGACAGCUUGUAGAGGUAACUGGAAAAGGCACUCUUGUGGUUGAAACCAAAGUAGGCAAGAGACAUAUCAAAGAAAUAAUGCUUGUACCUGGACUGAAAGAGAACUUACUCCGUGUGGGACAGAUGAUAGAGCAUGGCUACUAUUUGGUAUUUGGAGAUCACAAGGUGGAAAUCUACAAUGACAGCUCUCAUACAAAUCUGGUGGCAAAAGUUCAGAUGAAAGGAAAUAGAAGCUUUCCUUUGAAAUUGCAGGCUGAAAUGCACUUAGCUUAUAGAGCAGGUGUAGACCAUUCCACUGACCUCUGGCAUAGAAUAUUUGGAAAUCUCAAUAUGAGUAGUCUGAAACUGUUGAAAGAGCAAGAUAUGGUAGUAGGGCUGCCAGAAAUUAAAGAAGUUAAAGAGGUUUGUGAGGGUUGUGUUCUAGGUAAGCAGAGUAGAGAAGCAUUUCCAAGAGAAGCUACCACUAGAGCAUCAACUCCACUAGAACUUAUUCACAGUGACAUCUGUGGUCCUAUGCAGACAGUUACCAAAGCUGAAAAUAGGUUUUUUCUCACUUUCAUUGACGAUUGCACAAGGAUGUGUUGGGUUUAUUUCUUAAGGCACAAGUCAGAAGCUCUAAAUGUGUUUAAGAAAUUCAAAGCCACUGUGGAAUUGCAAAGUGGUUACAAACUAAAAAAAUUGAGAAGUGACAGAGGGGGAGAAUACACUUCAGUGGAGUUUGACAGGUUCUGUGAUAAUGCAGGCAUUGAAAGGCAGCUUACAACUCCAUACACACCACAGCAAAAUGGUGUGGCAGAGAGGAAGAAUAGAACUAUAGUAGAAAUGGCCAAGUGUUUGCUGUUGGAGAAGAAAAUUUCAUUUGACUUCUGGGCUGAGGCAGUCAACAUAUCUGUGUAUAUUUUGAAUAGGUGUCCAACACUACUACAUUUUACACUUUGCGCGACGAAGAGAAUUUCGUCGCGCAAAAUACAUUGUAGUCGCACAAAUUUCAGCGCGACAGAAACUUCGUCGCGCAAAGAUCGUGAAGAAAGACUUUGCGCGACGAAGUUUUUUCAUUGGUCACGCAAAGUGACUUUGCGCGACGAAAAAAUAUUGGUCGCGCAAAGCGACUUUGCGCGACGAAAAGAUUGGUCACUCAAAGUGACUUUGCGCGACGAAAAAUAUUGGUAACGCAAAGUUGUGCACGACGAAAUACAUUGGUUGCGCAAAGUUUAAAAAAAAUUUAAAAAAAAUAAAAAAUUUCCGCGUCCAAUUUUUGGUACCUGCCCAAAUUUUUUGAGUUUUGCGCGACGAAUAUUAACGUCGCGCAAAUAUUUGCGCGACGAAAUAUUUUUUGUUUUAAAUUUUUUUAAUUUAAAAUAAACUAAUUUAAUAGUUUGCGCUACGAAAUAUUUUGUCGUGCAAGGUUUUUGACUUUUUGUUUUAUUAUUUCUUUAAUAUGAAUUUAUUUAUAUGAAUUUUUUCAAAUUUUUACUUUUUAAAUUUAAUUUAAUUGUAUGAUUUCUUUUUAAAAUUACUUUAAUUUAAAUUGAUAUUAAUUUUUACUUUUUAAAUUUAAUUUAAUUGUAUGAUUUUUUUAAUUACUUUAAUUUAAAUUGACAUAUUCAAAAUAAAAUUACAUAUGAAAAAUAGUGAUUAAAUUAUCCAAUAAAUAUAUAUAUAUAUAUAAUAUUCAAAAUGUACACAUAAAUUAACAAAGUACAAUAAUAAAAUCCUAAUACAAGCGUAUUGUGGUGGUAGUGGCGGAGGAUAUGUUUUGAUAGCUUCCUAAUCCUCAACUUUAGCCGUCAAAGUCUCGAUGAUUCCCUAGAAAAAAAACAAAUAUGGUUAAAUAACCACAAAAAAAAAAAAAGAAAAAAAAAAGGCAUAAUCUCCCCUAAAAUUGUUAUACCACAAAUCCAACCCAAACUCCAAUCCCUCCCCUUUACUCAACCCCAAAACCCACACAAACUCAAAAUUAACUCCAAAAACACAUAUUAAUGAAAAAAAUUUAAAAUUUGGAGAGAAUAUACCUUUUGGCAAGAUUGAGAGUGAAUGAGAAUGAGAGGGAGAAGUGAGUGUGAGAGAAUUAGAGAAGAUAGUGAUAGAGAGAUGAGAGAGUGAGUGAGAGAGAUGAGAGAGUGAGAGAUAGUGAAGAGAGAGAUGAGAGAUUAAGUGAGAGGAGUGAGUGAGAGAAUGGUGGGAUUUGGGGAGAGGGAAAGAGAAAGGAGAGGUAAGAGUAGAGAAAGGCAUUGAGAAAAUGGUGGAGGAGUUAUUUCGGUUUUAAAAAUUGUAUCACUUUGCGCGACGAAAAAUAUUGUUGGUCGCGCAAAGGUUUGCGCGACGAAAAAUAUUGGAAUAUUGAUUGCGCAAACUUUUGCGCGACGAAACGUAUUGGUCGCGCAAAGUUUUGCGCAACGAAACAUAUUGGUCGCGCAAAGUCUAAAAAAAUUAUUUAAAAAAAAUAAAAAUCCCCGCGUCCCAUUUUUGGUACCCGCCAAAAUUUUUAAAUUUUUGCGCGACGAAUAUAGGAAUAUUGGUCGCGCAAAGUCUAACAAAAUUAUUUUAAAAAAAAUAAAAAUCCCCGCGUCCCAUUUUUGGCAUCUACCAAAAUUUUUAAAUUUUUGAGCGACGAAUAUAGGAAUAUUGGUCGCGCAAAGUCUAAAAAAAUUAUUUAAAAAAAAUAAAAAUCCCCGCGUCCCAUUUUUGGUAUCCGCCAAAAUUUUUAAAUUUUUGCGCGACGAAUAUAGGAAUAUUGGUCGCGCAAAGUCUAAAAAAAUUAUUUAAAAAAAAUAAAAAUCCCCGCGUCCCAUUUUUGAUACCCGCCAAAAUUUUUAAAUUUUUGCGCGACGAAAAAUACAUAUUGGUCGCGCAAAGUCUAAAAAAAUUAUUUAAAAAAAUAAAAAUCCCCGCGUCCCAUUUUUGGUACCCGCCAAAAUUUUUAAAUUUUUGCGCGACGAAAAAUACAUACUGGUCGCGCAAAGUCUAAAAAAAUUCACAUGUCCGAUUUUUGGUACCCGCCCAAAUUUUUGCGAGACGAAAAAUAUAUAUUGGUCGCGCAAAGUUUUGAGCGACAAAAAAUAUUGGUCGCGCAAAGUCUAAAAUUUUUUUUUUUUUUUUUAAAAUCCCGCAUCCCAUUUUUGGUACCCGUCCAAAUUUUUAGAGUUUUGCGCGACAAACUGUUGGUUGUGCAAACUUUUGAGAGACGAAAAAUUGGUUCAUAACACAAUAUUUAUAAAAAUAAUUGUUAUGAAUAAUAAAAAUAAAAUAAUUUUAUUUUACAAUUUCAAAUAUAAAUAAGGUUAAAGCUGCUUAAUAAAUAUAUAUACUAUUCAAUUUCUUAAGUGUUAUACGUACAAAAUAAAUAAAUUUAAAGCUACUUAAUAAAUAAAUAUAUAUACACACCCCAUUCAACGAUCCAACCGUCAGACUUAUUUGUAUAUACUUCAAGAUCGUAUACCCCAAAAAUCGCAAAAAACAAACAUUCAGAGAUCUAGUAACGGGACAAAACUUUUCGAUGGUUAUAAAUGAAAAAUUACGAUUUAACGGUUAUUUUAACUCCGAUUUUGAUGAUUUUUUUUUACAGCUACACUCCUUGACCAUAUAUGAAUACAAUGACUGAAUUUGAUCUUCAAUUUAAAAUAUUUACACUAGUGGAUACCACAAAAUCUUAUGUUAUAUCUAACGAACGUAUAAAUAACCUCUUAAUUGUUAGUGAAUAUAUUGUUUUGAUAGCAUAUGCAUUCACCAAAACUAGUUUCAACGAUCCAACCGUCAAACUUGUUUGUUUAUACUUCGAGAUCAUAUACGCCAAAAAUCGGAAAAAAUAAACAUUCAGAGAUCAAGUAAUGGGACAAAACUUUUCGACGGUUAUAAUGAAAAAUCACGAUUUAACGGUUAUUUUAACUCCGAUUUUGAUGAUUUUUUACAGCUACACUCCUUGACCCUAUAUGAAUACAAUGACUGAAUUUGAUCUUCAAUUUAAAAUAUUUACACUAGUGGAUACCACAAAAUCUUAUGUUAUAUUUAACGAACGUAUAAAUAAACUCUUAAUUGUUAGUGAAUAUAUUGUUUUGAUGGCAUAUGCAUUCACCAAAACUAGUUUCAACGAUCCAACCGUCAAACUUGUUUGUUUAUACUUCGAGAUCAUAUACGCCAAAAAUCGGAAAAAAUAAACAUUCAGAGAUCAAGUAAUGGGACAAAACUUUUCGACGGUUAUAAUAAAAAAUCACGAUUUAAUGGUUAUUUUAACUCCGAUUUUGAUUAUUUUUUACAGCUACACUCCUUGACCCUAUAUGAAUACAAUGAACUAAUUCGAUCGUCAAUUUAAAAUAUAUAUUUUCUAACAAAAACCCAAUCUAAACAACAAUAAUAUAUUUUUCUAACAAAAAUCCGAUCCGAUCUAAAAUAAUAAAUUUAAAGCUACUUAAUAAAUAUAUAUACUGUUUAAUUUCUUAAGUGUAAUGCAUACAAAAUAAAAAACAAAAAUAAAUUAGUUUUGGCGACGAAAUGUUUGGAUUACGUCAUGCAAAGAUUUUAAAAUAUAUAUAUUUUAUUUUUAUAAGGACUUUGCGCGACGAAGUUUAUUGUUUCGUCGCGCAAAGUCACUUUGAGCGACGAUAUAUUGUUGUCGCGCAAAGUUACUUUGUGUGACGAAUUUUUUUUCGUCGCGCAAAAUUUGGUCGCGCAAGACUUUGAGCGACGAUGUAUUGUCGUCGCGCAAAAGUUUGUCGCGCGAAGUGACUUUGCGCUACAAAUUGUUUUUCGUCGCGCAAAAUUUGGUCGCGCAAGACUUUGAGCGACGAAGUUUUGAGUUUCGUCGCGCAAAAUGACUUUGAGCGACGAAUAGUUUUUCGUCGCGCAAGGGGUUUUUUUUACUAGUGCAACUAAAGCCUUGAGUAAAAGGACACCAUUUGAGGCUUAUAGUGGGAGGAAACCAGGAGUUAAGCAUCUAAAGGUAUUUGGUUCAUUGUGUUAUGCUCAUGUACCAAAACAGCAAAGACAGAAACUAGAUUUGGCAAGCAAGAGGUGUAUUUUUCUGGGGUAUGGCAGCUGUGAGAAAGGAUACAGGCUGUACAAUAUUGAAACUGGAAAAGUAAUUGUUUCAAGAGAUGUGAUAUUUAGUGAAAAUGAGUGUUGGGAUUGGAAUGCAAAGAAGGAAACUAGUGUGAACAUUCAGCUCACUGAAAUCAGAGAAGAAGAAUAAGGAGCAGAAGGGAGUUCUUGUGAAUUUGAAGAACAAUUGGAAGUGAAUGAGAUGCCUAGCUUAAACACUGAAACCAGUGACCUAGAAAGGGUCACAGGAUCACAGGAUGUUGAUCAUACUCCUCUCAAGUACAAGAGCAUUGCAGAAAUUUAUGAAAAAUGCAACAUGUGCAUUAUAGAACCAGAAAGUUUUGAAGAGGCAGCAAAGGAUGACUCUUGGAAGAAAGCAAUGGAAGAUGAAAUCACCAUGAUUGAAAAGAACAAUACAUGGGAGCUUGUGGAUAGACCAUUUGAUAAACCAAUCAUUGGAAUCAAAUGGGUCUAUAAGACUAAACUGAACCUAGAUGGAUCUGUGCAGAAGAAUAAGGCUCGGCUGCAAAGGGAUAUUCUCAAAAGCCUGGAAUAGACUUCAAUGAGACCUUUGCACCAGUGGCUUGGCUUGAUACUGUAAGAACCUUGGUGGCUGUAGCUGCACAGAGAAACUGGAGAUUGUUUCAGCUGGAUGUAAAGUCAGCAUUUCUUAAUGGAGUGCUAAAUGAAGAAGUGUAUGUGGAUCAACCAUCUGGCUUUGUGAUACAAGGAAGUGAAGAUAAGGUGUAUAAGCUGAAAAAGGCCUUAUAUGGUUUGAAACAAGCUCCAAGAGCUUGGUAUGAAGAGAUAAAUUCCUAUUUCAUCAAAACUGGUUUUUAUAGAAGUCCAAGUGAAGCUACAUUGUACACUAAGAUGUCUACAAGUGGUAAUCUCAUUGUGUCCCUAUAUGUAGAUGAUAUUAUCUACACAGGAAGUUCAGAAGAAAUGAUGGCUGCAUUCAAGAAUGAUAUGAUGAGACAAUAUGAAAUGACUGACCUAGGACUGCUUCAUCACUUCCUUGGUCUUGGAGUCCUGCAAACUGAUACUUGCAUCUUCCUACACCAGAAGAAGUAUGCAAAGACCUUACUUGACAAGUUUGGACUUAAGGAUUGCAAGUCUGUUGCAACACCACUGGCAGUGAAUGAAAAGUUGUCAAAAGUGGAUGGAAGUGAACUAGCAGAUGAGACUUUGUAUAGGCAAAUGGUGGGAAGCUUGCUCUACCUGACUGCAACCAGACCAGAUAUCAUGUUUGCAGCAAGCCUCUUGGCUAGAUUCAUGCAUAAUCCAACCAAGAAGCACAUGGGAACAGCAAAGAGAGUGUUGAGAUAUAUUCAAGGCACUAUAAGCUAUGGAAUUGCUUAUGAGAAGGGAAAAGGAGCAGUGCUAAUAGGUUACUGUGACAGUGAUUGGAGUGGAAGUGAAGAUGACAUGAGGAGCACAUCAGGCUAUGCAUUCAACUUGGGGUCAGGUGUAUUUUCUUGGGUCUCAAUCAAGCAAAGCAGUGUUGCUCUGUCAACAGCAUAAGCUGAGUACAUGAGUGCAGCAGAAGCUACUGCACAAGCUAUGUGGCUGAGGUUUGUGUUAUCAGAUUUUGGAGAGGAACAGGUAGAACCAACUCAGUUGUUGUGUGACAACACUUCAGCUAUUGCUAUAUCAAAGAAUCAUGUUCAUCAUCACAAAACCAGACACAUCAACCGCAGGUUUCACUUCAUAAGAGAUGCUCUUCAAAAUGGUGAGAUCGAUUUGCUAUAUUGCAAAACUGAAGAGCAGCUUGCUGACAUUUUCACCAAGUCUUUAGCAAGAGAUAGAUUUGAGUAUUUGAGGAAAGCUCUAGGAGUUAUUUCAGCACAACACUUAUAAGGGAGUGUUGGUGUAUAAGUGUGGCUGCUGAAAUGCAAAUAGGAAGGUUCUAUUUUGGUUAGAAAGGCUGCGUUGGAUCAUAGUCCAAGUGUACAGUAGAGAAUGUAAUAGCUUAUGCCACUUGUCAUUAUCUCAUAGGGUAAUGAUUAAAUGGCUAAGAUUGAGUGAUGUAAUAGGGAAUAUUUCUUCUCUAACGGUUUUGUCAGAGUCACAAUAUCUGCAUGAUUUUUGUGCUGAGCUAAUUCAUAUAGCCAGCUUCUUCUCCAAGCUCUCUCUCUAUUCUCUAAAACUCUCUGCAUUUUCUUUGAAACCUAUUACAUGUUUGAUUGAAUUAAUAUGCAAGAUAAUGGUCUGCAUAUUCUAACACUAGAGCCAUGUCUAUUGAAAAAUCUUGUACCAACAAAACCAUAGCAAUCUUGAGAUCCAAGAUUUGACUGAGAAAUCACUGUUGGAACCAGAGAUCAAUGGGGCAAUAGAUGAAUGAGCUUGUUGAAAGAACCAGGACCAACAUGAAUCUUCCAAGAAGAAGAUUCUUCACUAUUAUCAUGGCAGACAGGGAGUGUGUAAGAGAUCACAAAGCCUUUUGUUCAACAGUUUUCUCUGCAGCCGACAGCUGAUAACGAAAUUCUUUCAGCGCAACUGGAGUCUCAAGUGACAGUAACAGAUCAUGUCAUACUUCGUACUUAGGCAAGCCAUGCAAGGGAAGUGAGCAAUAAUCACAUCCUCAUAGGAAAUCUUCAGACCAGAAGCUUUAAGGUCAUCUCUAGCAUUCUUAAUGCGCAGUAAGUACUACUCUGGCACCUUUGAAUUCAAUGCAACCGUGUCUUAUGACGAUUUAUACUAGCUAUCACAAGACGUUGUAACAUAUCUAUCAAUCAGAUUCUUUACCGCAUUACACAAGGUCCUACCACCACAAAUAUACUGCAGUCACCAUUAGUCAAAUGUAGCAAGCAAUAAACUGAGUAAUGCCUUAUUCUGUUUUCAUCCAGGACUUAAAGGCCUCAGUAAUGACAGACUUAGAAGACAAAACUUUGAACAAUCAAAAUAGCCAAAAAAAUCAUUGCCUUUGAGAACAUAUAUUGAAACAGAUAACUCCACUUGAUAAACGUGCCUAUCAUUGAGGGGAAGCAACCCCAUCAAACAAUCAAUAUCAGUUUGUGUACACAUCAGCUUAACAAUGCUCACAAAAUUGAUAAGUCCAUAAAUUUAAACAUUUAUGUACUCUUUAUACUUAGUUUUUGUAGGAGAAUUUGAUUUACAAAUGACUUAUGACUUCAUUUUCUCAAUUUUCAGCUUUUUGGAGCAAGUAAUUGGUUUUCAACGGAAAAAUGACUUUUUGGUGGAGUUUUAGUACAAGACCAGAUAGAGAUGAAAGCUAAGAUGUCACAUCUCGGGAUUGGCUCCGUCGUAGCACGAUAUUGUCCACUUUGGGCCCCCCCUCUCUACCCUCACGGUUUGGUUUCUGAGAACUCACGAGCAACUUCCCAGUGGGUCACCCAUCAUGGGAUUGCUCUAGCCCCAACUCGCUUAACUUUGGAGUUCCCAUGACUCCGAAGUCAGGGAGCUCCCAAAAGGCCUCGUGUUAGAUGGAGGCGGGCACGUACAUAUAAGACGUAUCACCCCCUCUCCGUUGGUCGAUGUGAGAUGUUACAAUCCACCCCUAUUAGAGGCCCGACGUCUUCAUUGCCACACUCACACCACACGGCAGAGUGACUCUGAUACCAAAUAGUCACAUCCCGGGAUCGGCUCCGCCGUAGCACGAUAUUGUCCGCUUUGAGCCCCCCUCUCUGCCCUCAUGGUUUUGUUUCUAGGAACUCACGAGCAACUUCCCAGUGGAUCACCCAUCCUGGGAUUGCUCUAGCCCCAACUCGCUUAACUUCGGAGUUCCCAUGACUCCGAAGUCAAUGAGCUCCCAAAAAGCCUCGUGCUAGAUGAAGGUGGGCAUGUACAUAUAAGGCAUAUCACCCCCUCUCCGUUGGUCGAUGUGGAAUGUUACAUAAGAUCUUGAAGAUGAUUGUGGAAUUUUUCUAGAAUUUUCGGAGCAUCCAAUGAGAGCAGUCUUUGAAGUUAAAUCAGCAUAAGAUGCAAUCCCAUCAAAACUGUGCUACUGUGGAAGAAUGAUUAUUUGAAGACUUUUAUGAUUUUUCGUCAAGAUGUGCAAUAUAUGGCUGGAAAGAUAAGACAAUGACCUACAAUUUACAUAUUUUUUCCAAAUUUUCUUGGAGGAGGAAUGAUUCCAAACGUGCGUGCAAAAUAACUAACGUGUUAUCCUAGUGAAAGUAGGAAAAGGAGUCAAUUACUUACCCAUUUUGGAUUUAUGUUUUAAUUAGGUUUUUAUUUAUUUUUGGGUUGUUGUAAAAGGCCAGCUAGGGUAGGAAUAGACGUGUGGUGUUUUAUUUAAGCAUGAGAAACAACUCCUUUGGGAGGACCCAAAGACUAGGAGAAAUUGGAGAAGCCGGAAGAGUACCACAAUUGGCUAAGUUUUAUUGUUUCUUCUUUAUGCUUUUGUUUAUAUCGAAUUCUAUGAUUAUGUGUAACUAAUUUUCUUUUGCUAGGGCAUGAUGUAGCCCUAGUAUGAUAAUUUAUUUUUCUUAUUUUACCUAUCUAUUGAUUGCCAUUUGAUGUUGGAUUCUUAAUCAUUGUGCUUAAUACCUUAGUUGAUUAUCUUGAUGAUUGAUCAUCAUCUAGACUUUUAAUUGAGUUAAUUGGAUGCAAAUUAGAGUAAAUACCGUACUUAAUUUGUGGCUUGCUUCUUGUGAUUAAGAUUUGUAAUUCGUUUAGGGUAAAUACCAUACUCCUAGGGUUUACAUGCUUGUUGGAGGUUUUCACUGGUCUUAGUGAGUUUCUAUGUGUUGAUAUUUGACCUAAAUAACAUAGGCGAAUUGCAUGUAGGAAUAUACGAGUUAGCCUAAAUACCAUAGGUAAUUCAUGAAAAAUGAAAACUAGGCGGCGACAUCAAAUGGUUAGUUAAUAGGUAGGUGAAUAAGAGGCUAGAUCGGAUUACUAGUGGUGAAUUCAUUGUCCUAGUGCUUUUAUCAAUUUGAAUUUCUCACCCUUGUGUUUCAUGACUUUCUACUUGUUUUGUCUUUUAAUGUUGUAAAUUAAAUCAUUCUUUCAAAAACCCCUUUUGUGUUUACGUGAGUAUGCUACAUGUUUAAUUUCUUGUUUAUAUAAUUAGAGUAGUUAAAGUAUUUUGUGAAGUAAAUUAGGUUAGACUAAUUGGAAGUUGAACUCAAUCCUCGUGGGAAUGACCUCAUAUUUUCCAUACUAUAUUACGAUUGACCUGGUACACUUGCGAGUAUAAUUUGUGUUUAGACUAAUCUUUAUAAUCUCCUUUUUUCAGGUUGUCUAAAAUUCACAACAAGUUUUUGGCGCCGUUGCCGGGGAUUGGCUUCAUCAAAUACGAUUUAGUUCAAUCUAAAUUUAGCUUUUCAGUUUUUUUUUUUUUUUUUUUUUUUUUUAUAAAAAAAAGUUCAUUUUUGUUUUCUUAGUUUUAUUUUAUUUAUUUCGUUUUUUUUUAAAUUUUACUUGAAAAUUUAAAUUGGAAUUGAUUUGUGUUUCUUGUUUGUCUUGUGUAUAGGUUCGGCUUAGUGUAUGACUAGUAGACUCUCUCAAGGUCAAGACCUCAUAUUGUUUGAUCCUAAGAUUGAGAGAACAGUUGAGCAUCAAGAAGACAAAGGUCUCGUUGAAAAUAUAAACGAGAAGAGUGACAAGAACGUUGGGGAACAACAAUUAGAGCAAGAGGAAGCAAUGGAACGAGCACCACCUGCUCGAGCUCUGAAGGAGUACUCCAUCCAAUACUCCAUCAUGUAUUGUAGUACCAAAAGUCGAAGCAAAUUCAUUUGAACUCAAAUCCGGAAUGAUUCACUUGUUACCAUCUUUCUGUGGCAAGUCGAGCGAAGAUCCUAACAUGUAUAUUCGGGAAUUUUUUGACAUUUAUGGUACCAUCAAGAUCCUAAAUGUCUCUGAAGAAGUAGUUAGGCUGAAAUUGUUCCCGUUUUCAUUAAAGGAUAGAGCCAAAGCUUGGCUUCACUCACUACUAGCUGAAUCCAUUAAUUCAUUGGAGGGAUUAGCUCAAAAAUUUCUCUAGAAAUUCUUCCCUGUGCCAAAAAUGAAUUAGCUUAGAAGAGAUAUAAUGCAUUUUACUCAAGGAGAGCAUGAGCCAUUCUAUGAAGCUUGGGAGAGAUUUAGAGAGUUGCUGCAAAAAUGCCCUCAUCAUGGCAUUAUUGAUUGGAUACAGAUGCACUUAUUUUAUGAAGGACUUACGACUGCAAACAAACGAAUGGUUGACUCUGCAUGUGGAGGUGCAUUGAUGGAGAAGAGACUUUAAGAAGCGUUUGAUCAAUUUGAUUUGCUUGCUAAUAAUAAUCAACAAUGGGGCAGUGAGCAGACAAAGAAGGCAGGAGUUCAUGAAGUCAACACCAACACUACGUUUGCUACUUAAAUUUCAAGCCUUGAGAAAAAACUUGAAACUCUUAUGUGUGCUGUUAUUCCACCUUCCCCACAACAAGUUUGCACCAUUGUUCUGACCCUACUCAUUCAAUGGAAAUUCGUCCAUUUACUACGCAAGGUUCUACGCAAGUUCUCCAAGUUAAUUCGUUUCAGCAACCUCAGAAUGAUCCAUAUUCGAACGCCUAUUAUCCAGGGUGGCGUAACCACCCAAAUUUUUCAGGGAGCAACCAAUAAAAACAAGCUAGUUCUAGCCAUCCCUUCCGGCAGCAAAUGUAGCCUUCAAGCUAGCCUAAGAAACCAGCGUUGGAGGACUUAAUUGCUUAGUUUGUACAGACUUCUCAACAAAAUCAUAACAUUAUGCAAGCGUCCAUCACUAAGUUAGAAAUUCAAGUAGGUCAACUCGCUACUAUUGUGCAUGAGAGGGCGCAAGGCACAUUCCCAAGCCAACCCGAAAUUAAUGCUCGAAAUGUUGAACACGUCAAGUCCAUUAGAACUUUGAGAAAUGACAAGCCAUAUGAUAGACGAGAAGAAGCCACAACAAGUGCUGGAAAAGAAUAUGAAGGUAGAGAAGAAACUAAAGGACUACUUCCAGCACCUACCUAAGGCAAACCAGGUGAUUCCGAAAGAAUCGCUAAUGAUGAUCAAAUUGCCUCUAUCAAAGAAAGGAUAUUUUGUGCAAUCUAUACUAUACUCUUCAUACAGUCAAAGAGGUGAGAAGAUAGUAAGGGAUGCCCAGGCCAUCUCAGGCAUAUGAAUAGCUCCGCCCUUGGUCCACCUCAUCUGUCACAUAAGGUGGUAUGAAAAUAUGAUAUAUAUAAAUGUGGUAAGAAUAGCAUUAUUCUAAUGACAUAUCUUACUUCUAUCAAAAUCUUGAGCAUGAGGCUCAAACCCUGAUAUGAUGUUAAUAAUAUAUUUCAGUUUAAUGUCUUGUAGGUUUGAGAAAACUAUUAGUUCGUAUUACCAUGUAAGUCAUGCUAGGAUACUGCUCUAUAAUUUCUGAUCAUAAAGAAAUGAAAAAGGCAAUUUAGGAAUAAGAAUUAUAUGUUUAAAAUUAGCUUACUUAUCACAUAAUAUAAAUAAAAAAAGUUCGAUACAAAGUUUAAGGACAAGAGUUAAAAUUUAAUCAAAAUCUUGAUUUUUAUAAAAUAAAUAAAUAAAUAAAAAUUAGAUCUUAUUGAAGGAUGUUAGUCUAGCUUCCUCUUUUUUUUUUCUUCUUUUUUUUUUUCUAAUCAUGAAUUCUCAAUAAAAUUGUAAUUGACCGGCAUUAUUAUUAGUUGGCGGAUGCCUGUAUAGCAGUGGCGGAGCCAGCAUAGGACCAGUGUGGUCCCAGGCCCCCACUCCAAUUUUUAUUUAUUUAUUUGUAUAAUAUAUAUGAUAUAUAAUAUUAUAAUAUAUUAUAUUAGUUUUAGGAUAUUUAUUUUACAAUAAAAAUAAUAUAUUAGGUUCUUUUUGUCUACAAAUUAACCAUAAAAUUUCUUGAUCUCUCUUUUACUCAUCUCCCUUAAAUCUUCUAGGUUAGUUUAUGAUAUUUGCACUAAAAACUCCUAAAGUUUUAACCUUCCGUUCUCUUUCUCUUUUGUUUAAAGCUUUGUGAAUUUUUUAUUUUCCUCAUUUUUUUAUGUAUGAGUUGGGUACCUUAAUAUUGCGCUUUAUGAACCUUUUUUUUUUUUUUUUUUUAUAAUUUCUUUUCUCUUUUGGAAUAUAAAUUAUCAAAUUUGAAGUCUUUAAUAGUGUUGAUGAUGAUACUAGCUAGUAUUUAACUAAUUUAAAAUAUGAAAUUCAUGAUAAUUAUGAAGAGAAGAGAAGAUUUAUGAAGGGCCCCCUCUAAUGUGAAAUUAUGACUCUGCCACUUCCGUAUGGUACGUAUCUGGAUGAAAAGCAGACAAUAAUAGCUGCACUAUAUAAAAUAUAUAUACAUAUGUAUAUGUUUGUAAUAAGGAAUAAUGAAAGGAGGAAAUAUGGUACGAUACAAGUAGGUGACAAAAUGGCCAGAAAUUUUCAUGGUUGUCUUCCACUGUUAGCGCCAAUACGUUCAAUUGAAGCAACCAAAUGAAUAAAAAUCUGUUCGUAUUCACGAAUUCUUAAUAACGCUGACGCAUUCAUUGAAUAAAAAUCUGUUGGUACAAAACUAAUUGAAUAUUGGAUCAAUUGCAACAUAUGCACAUGUGCAUGCGCAUGGUGUGUUUAGAUUAAAUGACCAGUUUUACUAUUGCACCAAGUUUUGCAAAAGGGCAUGCAAAGUAGGUCGUAUGUUUAACAUGGAAAAAUAGGAGUGGGAAACAGGAUAAAACGUGCAUAUAAUACGGCAAGUCUGGAAAUUUCGGGCGACAACUCAAUUUUUGGAAUAAUUUUUGGAUAUUUCGGAUACACUACGUGGUUGGUGUACCAUCCAAUAAACGAAAGAUAUAUGAAAUAUUUGCAAUGCAGCCCGCCACAUGUUAUAAAAAGAAAUGCAGUAAAUUAGACAACAAUUCCACAUGUCCUAUGUUUAUUGGAUAGUACACCAGCCACGUGGUUUACUCGGAACAUAUAAAAAAUUCUCCAACUUUUGGGCCAAAAUGUCCCACCUUUUAUCUAGUGUCGACACGGAAAUUAGGAGGUGAGGCGAUUUCUUCUCCUAUAUCAGCGAUGUAUCAUCAAUAUUUUAGGAUAGUUUUGAUGUAUCUCGAUAUUUCGUACAAACACAAAAAUGUCCCAAAAUAGAAGAAAGAAGAUGCAAAUUCAAACAUAAUAAACAGUACAGUUGUUUAGAAUCUUUAACUGAGUCAAAUAUAAACCGAACUUAGCCUAACUGAGCACUCAUGUACUAACCCAACCAAUUACUCAAACCAAGUGUUUUUGUAUCAAGAACUAUUGCCUCGAGUUGGAGGGCCCAUGUUAUAUGCGCGCGCAUGCAUGUCUGAUAUUUUCAUCUUUUAUAACAGUGACAGAGGAGAUUCCAUUUUUGGGGAUCCAAUAAUAGAGAUUUAUAACAUGGGAUGCCAACAAUAUAGAUGUUUCAAUAUUUUCCCGACAUGGGAUGCCAACAACAUAGAUGUUUCAAUGUUUCAAUGUUUCAACAUGGAAGCAAUCACGUAAGGAUUAACAUGGCAGGACAUCAGACAUGAGAAACUAAGAAGAGAGAGAGAGAGAGAGAGAGAGAGAGAGAGAGACUUGCGGUUCAAGCAAGAGAAGGCCAUAACACUAUGUAGCAAUAGCACCGUAAAAUAAGAUGCAAAGAAUGAGGGUGGGGGUCGUGUUUUCAAGUACCAAAACACGCAAGGGCAAUUUGGUAAAGUACAUCUGAAAAUAAAUCAAGCAAGCAAAGCCGUAGAUAUCCUCUUCCUGCUACACAUAGUAUUAGCCUACGUAAGGUCAUUACGGCGCCGUUUCCCUUUUUAAUUGGCGUAGUUCAACUCAUCAUCCACCCAAGUUCAUUUCGUUCAAAGCUAUAAAUAACCCCUCAAACCAUUCAACUUUCCCACCACCACUCCUCACUCCUUCAACUCAUUAACCUCUCUCUCUCUCUCUCCUUCAACUCAUUAACCUCUCUCUCUCUCUCUCUCUCUCUCAUUUUCAUCCGCAAAUGGCGAACCGUAGAAGCCUCUUUUCUCUCUCACUUAUCUUUGUGUUCAUGAUCAACUCAGCCAUAGCCACUCCAGUCACAUACAAUGUGGCCAGUUUAGGAGCCAAAGCAGAUGGCAAGACUGACUCCACAAAAGCCUUCCUCUUUGCAUGGGCUAAAGCUUGUGCCUCGAUGAAUCCCGGUGUCAUUUAUGUGCCGGCAGGAACGUUCUUUCUUCGCGAUGUGGUGUUCAGUGGGCCUUGCAAGAACAAUGCCAUCACCUUCCGCAUUGCCGGAACCCUUGUGGCCCCGUCGGAUUACCGGGUCAUCGGUAAUGCAGCUAACUGGAUUUUCUUUCACCAUGUAAACGGGGUUACCAUAUCAGGUGGAAUUCUUGACGGCCAAGGCACGGCCUUGUGGGCUUGCAAGGCCUCUCAUGGCGAGAGUUGUCCCAGCGGAGCAACGGUAAUUAAUUCACUACUUUAAAUAUCAUAUUCAUGACACCAUUAAAUAUCAAAUUCAUGACACCAUUAUUUUGUGCUUCAUUAUUAGUGAGAAUUUUAAAGGUCAACGUACGUACAAUUUGCUUUAUUAUUUGCUACCAAUUGAAUUGAGGGUUUAUAAAAUAAGUUUAAACUCUACAGAACGUAAUCAAAUGGACAUGAUAAAUUGUACCACAAGCUUAGCUUGAUCAAGUAAUUUCGUGUAUAUAUGUGCAGACUUUGGGUUUUUCCGACUCAAACAACAUCGUGGUGAGUGGAUUGGCAUCCCUAAACAGCCAAAUGUUCCACAUAGUCAUCAACGACUGCCAAAAUGUGCAAAUGCAAGGUGUCAGGGUUUCUGCUUCCGGGAACAGCCCUAACACCGAUGGCAUUCAUGUCCAAAUGUCAUCUGGUGUCACAAUCCUCAACUCCAAGAUUGCAACCGGUGACGAUUGUGUCUCAAUUGGCCCCGGAACCUCAAAUUUGUGGAUAGAAGGCGUUGCUUGUGGACCUGGCCAUGGAAUUAGGUACGACAUCAAAAUUAUAUAUUUAUCCAUGAUUGAUCAAACUAGCUAAAUGCAUACUAUUUCAUAAUAUAUGUUAUAAUGUAUAUCUUUUUUCUUCGUUGCUUAAUGACAUUUGAACUUAGGACAUCUUUCAAUAAAGUGGAGAUUAAUUGGUUGCUAGUAGAGAUUCAUUGCCUACAAAAAGUAUAUCUUUCUUUUGGGUGGAUGUUCUAGUUGUAAAUUUAACAUUGCUUUAUUUGAUGGUUCAGCAUUGGAAGUCUAGGCAAGGAGCAAGAAGAGGCCGGUGUACAAAAUGUAACAGUUAAAACGGUUACCUUUACUGGUACUCAGAAUGGUCUAAGAAUCAAGUCAUGGGGGAGGCCAAGCACUGGGUUUGCUAGAAAUAUUCUUUUCCAACAUGCUACAAUGGUCAAUGUCGAAAAUCCUAUUGUCAUAGAUCAACAUUAUUGCCCCGACAACAAAGGGUGCCCUGGUCAGGUAAGAUAUCAUUCUUGCUCUAACGGUCAAUUCCCAGAGUUUAAUAUUACAACUAAAUUUUCUCUUCUUCACUUUCAUAGUGUAACGUUUUUGAUAAAAACGUUGGCAUCGCCAAAUUAUAACUGUCUAAUUUCGAAACAUAUCAAAAGCUUUCUUGGGCUUCCACCUAGAAGAGCCAAUAAUUUUAGACCCAAAGCAAAUCCAAUAACUCCUUCUUCCAUGGGCUUGCUCUCCUACUACUUACAAAGGUCGAGCCUUGCCCAUUGUAACCUUUGUAACUUAUUAAUUUCAUUGUAUGUGCAAUGAGAUUGAGGGUUGUAGCUUAAGUGGUUAACAAUAUUUACUCAUGUAUUCGAAGUUCUAGAUUUAAUUCCCCUCUUUUCCAAUACCAUUUUUAUCAAAAUGACUUCAUCGUAGCUUAGCCAAAAAAGCAUUAAACUUCCCAUUAAGCCGAAUUACCAUGCUAUAAUGCUUGUUCACCUUCUGUUUUAUCAAAAGCUGGAAAUCUGACUUCCUAUUGUUUUUUUUCUUUUGUCAAUUUUGUUUUUCGAUAGGUUUCCGGAGUUCAAAUUAGCGAUGUGACAUACGAAGACAUACACGGUACAUCAGCAACAGAAGUUGCAGUAAAAUUUGAUUGCAGUCCCAAGCACCCUUGCAGCGAGAUCAAAUUGGAGGAUGUGAAGCUUACUUACAAGAACCAAGCAGCUGAGUCUUCAUGUAGCCAUGCAGAUGGAACAACUGAGGGUGUGGUUCAGCCUACAAGUUGUUUGUAGAGUGGAAAAAUAUGAACUGCUUGUAGAAGUAUUGAAAUCCAAAAGUUUGCCCUCCAGUACUAAGGACAAAUGAAAAGUGAAUUAUACGAUUUAUAUAGGAAGAAUGAGCUUGUGUUGUUGGCAGCCUACUUGGGCUUCCCUUGAGCCUGGCCGUUCAAUUAGUUUAGUUUGUUCAAACUCGUCCACUUCGAUGGGUGUUUAUGUUAUGAAUUGUUGUAAGAUUAUGUUCGGGAUACGUUAAAUUUAUAAGAUUAAAUUUUAUGUUGAUGGCUAAUGUGGCAUUUGACAUAGGAUUCAAUAUUCUAUCAAUUUAAUUCACAAUUUUAUUAUAAUCGAAGCACACAUUAAAUAGUAAAAAUUUGGUUCAAGAAACAAAAGGAUUUGAAGUCUCGCAUGAACUUUUUGGUUGGAGCAUUUUCUCAUGUCAAAUUUUACCCGUUAAAAAUUUAUUAUGAUAUUUUAACAUUUCGGUUGGAGUAUUUUUUUCAUGUCAAAUUUGACCCGUUAAAAAUUUACUAUGGUAUUUUAGCAUUUCGGUUGGAGAUGUAUAAAUCUUAAAAAUGCAUUCAAGAUGCAUUUUUGUUUCUUAAGCUUUGAGCUUUAGGUAAUUAACUUUAAAUGUUGUUGGGCACCUUGCACUAGUUGAUUAAAGAAAAAUAGACCCGAAGCAAGAUUCCUUGUAGUUGCCAAUUCGAAGUUUUCUUUAUCGCUACAUACUUACUGGUCUACAAGUUCUCUCUCUAAUACAUAAUUUGACAUAAAUAAAUACAGUGAAGAGUGCAUUGACUAAACAGAAAAAAAAACAAAAAAAGCAGCACGUAAGCAAUUACGUGCAUUUGGUGUAAAAGCUAAAGGCCUCUGAUUUAUGUAAGCAGUUACGGUAAUCAUAUUAUAUUAUAUGUAUCUUAGUUCUGCAAUUGUAACAGGAAUAAUAUUGUUUUGUUAUCCCCAAUCAAUAAUACAAUGAUACGUGAAAAAGUUAUUUAACAUGUCAUUGCGUUAUUAGCUGGGGAUAGCAAACAGUGCUAUCCCCAUUACAUGAAAGUCUUUCUCCUGCAUAUCCUAUUAUACUAUUAUAAAACUCAAUUGGUCAAUCAUAGUGAAAAAAAUAUAGUGAAAGAAAAAAGAAGAAGAAGAAAAUAUCAAUUAAGCCCCUCUUAUAUUGAACACUUCAAUAAUAAAAUAAAAAUUGCAUAUGGAGUAAAGUCAGUCAGUUAAGAUAGUAUGCUAGUUCUUUUGCACCUGAGUUCAAUUUCCUUCCCCGAACAUUUUCAAAUAAAUAAUAAUAAAAUAAAAUGUGAAUUUGAUAGUCAAUGUCGUAGUAAAAUAUGGUUUUUUAGUAUCAAUAUUAAGGAAAGCCAUUGUUCUUUCUAGCAGAAUGCCCGCCACUGCUAGAGAGAGAGAGAGAGAGAGAGCGGAAUGGCAGAAGUGAGUAACAAGCAGGUGAUACCGAGGGAGUAUGUCACUGGCUUUCCCAAAGAGUCAGACUUGUACGUGAAUAGCACUGCUACUAUCAAGUUGAAGCUUUCUGAGGCCCCCGAGCAUGAGGGUUCUUCAAAGAAACUAGUUCUAGUGAAGAAUCUUUACUUGUCCUGCGAUCCCUACCAACGACUAUUUAUGGAAAGAAUCGAAGGCCUCAGCAGCCAAUCCACUUCCUCCUAUACGCCUGGUUCUGUAAGCAAAACCCAUCAUAUAUCUUUUCCUUUCAAUUUCUGUAAACAUAUAUACCAAAUGUUAUGCUCAAAUAUAUAUUAAUUGUUAAACAUUGUUCCCUUAAAAAAAACAAUUUAUUGCAAAAUUGGAAUAUACAAGAGGUAACUCUGCACAAAUAUUAAUGACAAGAUGAGGUGGCUAAAAGCACUGUUAAUGUCUAUCAGCGCGCAAUGAGCACGAAUAACUGUGAUUAUUAAGUAGUAGGAGCUGAUAGUUGUUUUUGUUACCACAUCCUAUGCCACAAAUAUUAAUUAUUACCAAUUAUUCUUCUAGUAAUGCUUGUUUUUUUGUUGAUGGCAACAUUGGGAGGAGGGAAUCAAAUACAAGUUUGAUCAUAUGAUUAAUUUAAUUUUGUUGGUGUAAACGUGCAGCCAAUAUACGGGUAUGGAGUGGCUAAAGUUUUGGACUCUGGGCACCCAGAUUUGAAGGCAGGUGACUUAGUUUGGGGGACUACCUAUUGGGAAGAGUACAGCCGAAUCCCUGAACCCGAAGGCCUGAUCAAAAUCCAGCACACUGAUGUACCUCUAUCCUAUUAUACUGGAAUUCUUGGUAACAAGUCAAACCUAUUUUAGAUCAUGAUGAUAUGUGUUGGUUUAGAUACGUAAGUGUAUUUUUUGUAAUUUCAUUUCAGGUAUGCCUGGUUUGACCGCUUAUGUUGGUUUCUAUGAAAUUUGUUCUCCUAAGAAAGGAGAACAUGUCUUCAUUUCAGCAGCAGCUGGUGCUGUUGGUCAGCUUGUUGGACAAUUUGCAAAAUUAAUGGGUUGUUAUGUUGUUGGAAGUGCUGGCAGUAAGGAAAAGGUACGAACUUGAGAAAUCUUUGAACUUCAAAUUAAUAUUAUCUACACCAUUUUUUCUUGUUUGGGUUGUAUUUUGCUGUUGUUAUUUGGGCCAACUUUGGUGUUGGUUUGGUUUGGGGCCUCUGUUUGUGCGCUGGGACUACAAUGAGUGGAAAGUUAUAAGGGGUAAGUUAUAAGGGGUUCACUUUAUAGCCAUCAGAUCAAUCCAAGGGCUGGGGAGAAUUGAGAUAAAGUUUCACAAUUGGGUAGGUGAGGAACCCAAACCCGAAUUGAAUAUCCAGCACGUCCAAAAAGAAGAAGAAGAGGGAAACACGUUCGAAAAAGAAGAAGAAGAGGCAAGUUCGAAGUUUGAACAGAAAGAACUCAUCUCUCUAAAACCCAGAGGUCUGAGAUACCCAAUGAAGGCAACGGCUAACGACAGUUGAAGGCAACGAUUCGCCACUCCGUUCUCCAGACCCUGAAAAAGUAUUUAUUUGGAGUAGAAGGGGCAAAGGUGUGGAUUCCAAAUCAAUGAAGGGGCGAAGCAGUGGAAGGGGAAGGGGAGAAGCUAUAAUCGUUGGAAGUGGUAGGUUCCAUUUGUGGAGCAAAGAAACAGAAAGACCCCACACAGACACCUUGCAAUAACCAGCAUUUGGUGAGUAAUUUAUGGAAUUUGAGUUUAGGGUUAGAGUAAUGGUUUUCCUCAAUUUGUAGCAUAAAUUUUGUUGGAUUUGGCAUCUCUUCGUUGUGCUUGAGUUGCAUGUUAAUUUUUGCUUAGGUAUAUGUUAAAAAAAGAAUGAAAAUCAAGUCAAUAACAAGUGAAUAACAUGUCAAUAAUGAUAUGAAUAAGAUAAUGGUGUUGAAUUGGAGGAGGCCCUCAAAACCUUCCACAUUUGAAGCAGUGCAUAGUGCAGAUUAAGAAGAGGCGGUAGAAUAUAUAUAUAUAUAUAUAUAUAUAUAUUUUAUGAAGUAAAUAUGAUUUCCUUUGUUACUAAAUUUGCCUGAGAAACAUUUGAACAGAUAAUAAUAAACUCAUGAAUAGAAGUGCAAAGCAUUUGAUGAGUAAUUUAAGGAAUUUGAGUUUAGGGUUAGAGUAAUGGUUUUCCCCAAUUUGUACCAUCAAUGUUGUUGGAUUUGGCAUCUCUUAUUUGUGCUUCAAUUGCAUGUUAAUUUUUGCUUGGGUAUAUGUUAAAAAACGAAUGAAAAUAGAGUCAAUCACAUGUCAAUAACAUCUCAAUAACAUGUCAAUAACAUGUUAGUAAUGAUAUGAAUAAGAUAAUGGUGUUAAAUUGGAGGAGGCGCUCAAAACCUUCCACAUUUGAAGCAGUGCAGAGUGAAGAGUACCUCUCUGGCCCUAGAAUUUAUAUAUUUUGUGAAAUAAAUAUGAUUUCAUUUGUUACUAAAUUUGCCUAUGAGAAAUGAGAACAGAUAAUAAUAAACUCAUGAAUAAAAGUGCAAAGCAUUUGAAAUGAAGGUUGAUCUAUGACGAUUGUGGGUGACUGAAGAAAAAGCUAGAAAGAAAGAAGGAUGUGGCAAUUGCUUAGCAAGCAGAUAGCAGAGUAGAUGCUUUGCUUUGCUUCCUUCCACUAUAUUUCUUAUUUAUUUAUUUUGUGUUGUGUAUGAGAUGACAAUAAUUGUCAUGUGUGUGAAGUGCAGAACUUGCCUACAUUGCACUCACACGAGUAUGGAUCCAUAAAUAAAACACGUGAAAUUGUUUGUAAUUCACAUAAUCAUUGCAUUAACAGGUAUUUGCACAAAAUUUGUCAUAUUGCUUUGAUGAUGUUAAAGCCUAUGAUCAGUAAUCCGUAUGCUCAUGUACUUUGUAAAAUUUGUAAUGUGCCUGGUUGACUAGUUGUGAUUGUGCAAAUACGUGGCAGUAUAUGUGUUCACGUUAUUUCACAUUGUAUUUGAGGAAAUGGGAUCCAACGUGGAGCUGGUAUGGCCAGAGGCAGAGGCAUAUUCGUCACGGGUGAACAACUGCUCACAUGCAAAUUCAUCUCUAGCUGCAAUUCGAGCGAAGUUGAGUGCGGAACAAUUAGAACAAUUCAAGACAUCAUGCUUUGGCCAUCUUCUGAAUAUAGAUAAGAUUCAGUUUAGCGGGCAGAUUGUGCAUGGGGCUGUGUUGCGUAGAGUAGCGGGGCAGGGUGUGAAAGACUUGGAUGGACUGAGUUUCUUAUUAGGGUGUGACGUUGCUCAGUUCACUCGUCAGGAUUUCUGUUUGAUCACAGGGCUUCGUUUUGGGGAAGUGCCUGAAGUUUCCAGUGGAGAGAGUGAUGUAAUCAGACUUCAGAAAAGAUAUUUUAUAGACGAAGGAAUUACAUGCAAUGCUUUAGAAGAAGCAUUUAUGGGGUGCACAGAGGAAGAUGACAUCUACAAGCUAGCUCUUGUUUACUUUGCUGAGUUAGUGGUUUUGGGAAGGGACAAACAUUUGAACAUCAAUCUAAAUUACCUGACCCUUGUAGAGGACUUGGAUGCGUUCAACAGGUAUCCGUGGGGUUCGGUGUCCUUUGACAAAACCCAAGACAGUCUAUUUUCUGCACCAACAAAGUAUGUGAAAAGCUUGCAAAAUGAAGAGGGAAGAGGGAAGGGGAAAAGUAAGGUAACGGGAACAAGCCGGAGAAAUGAGAAGGGCAGGAAGGAUAAGCAUGGUGAAGCGCAAAGGAGUGGCUGGAGUUUUAAAGGUUUCACGUAUGCUUUCCAGGUACAUGGUAAUAAUGUUCAUGUGAGUUAUGUUUUGUUUUUCUUUAAAACAUAAAUAAUGACUUUUGUCCUGUGAAUUGUGUAGAUUUGGGUAUAUGAAUUAAUUCCUAGAAUGGCGGACCUGAAUUACUGCAAGGUUGUUGAUCCGACCGCUGUCCCGCGUAUUUUGCGAUGGAGAACUACUACGUCUGUUCCAGAGAUGAGAAAGUUGAACAAUUAUUUUUUCCAGAGCAAAGAGGUUUGGUUUGCAGCCCUUGGAACUAUUGAUAAGAUUGAAUGAAAUUUUGAAGUAGAAUGAUUUAAUAUGACUGUGGUUUGUAUUCUGAAACAGUCAGUUCAGUUGCGGGCGCUAUGUCCGAGUGAAGAGGAAAUGAGACAGCCAUAUUGGAGUUGGCCACAGGAUCGCCCUGAUGAGACAGCCAUAUUGGAGUUGGCCACAGGAUCGCCCUGCUGUUGUCUCGGCAGAGUCAAUUCCUUCUUUAUGUGGUGAUCUUGAUCAGUUGAACAAGGUGGUAAGCUUGUUGAGGUCCGAGUUGUUUCAAGUAAAGCGGGAAAAAGACGUCCUUCACUUAAAGGUCAUACGGAUGGAAAAACUGUUGGACCAAUGUUUAGGUCCUCAGUUUGAGCAGGAAGUAAGGAGGGACCUAGCUUUACUGAAACAGAGGACGAAGCGUUGUGUCGUCUCACAUCUAUUUAGGGGAUAUCGGGAAUUGGAUGACAUUCAAUGGGAUGAAGGGCCAAGUAACAGAAAUGAGGGAGAGGAAAAGGAAGAUGAAGGGAUUGAAGGGGGUGAAGGGCCAAGUAAUAGAAAUGAGGGAGAGGAAAAGGAAGAGGAGGGGAUUGAAGGAGAGGAAAAGGAAGAGGAGGGGAUUGAAGGGGGUGAAGUGCAAGGAAUACCAAGUGAGGUAGAGGAAGGGCAAAGGAAAAGAAGUGAAGGAGAGCAAGUGCAAGUAAAAAGUAGCAAAGGAGAGGAAGCCCAAAGACAGAGCAGUGAGGGAGAGGAAGUGAAAAGAAAAAGCAGUAAGGGAGAGAAACUGCAAAGGAAAAAAAGGGAGGGCAAGGAAGUGAAAACACAAAGAAGUGAGGAAAAGGAAGUGCAAAGAAACCAAUGUGAGAAAGAAGAUAAUGAAGUUAUGUUGCUUGGGGAUGACAUUGGCGAGAGCACGGAGGGGACACUGCUUGAGUUUACUGUCGGGGACAUUGAUUUGGAUCAACCUACAGCUGUGCUAUCUCAGUUGAACGUGUGGUUGAAUGAUAAAGGUAAAGCUGUGGCACAAGGGGUCCAAUUACGGAAAAGGAAGAGGAUCAUUCCUAUGUGGAAGAUCAUUGAAGGCAUUGAAUUGGUUCCAAAAACUGGGGCACAGACAACCGGACUGAAGAUGUUAGACCCAAUGAAGGCGAUUCCGCAUGAUGAUCUGGUGAAUUUGCUGAAACUUUGUUGGGAAUGGCGCCAGGACCCAAAGUAAGUCCCUUGCAAUUAUAAGAUAGAAGCACGACUGUAUAUAAUUUUUAAUAUACAGUGUUCUAAAACUGUUUUAUAUUCAUAGUUUAGUGAUGCAAUUUGGCAACGUGGAAGCUGAGAUUGAAUUCUUCGCUUCCCUCGUGAAAGCUGAUGGUUGGCUGAAAGGAGAUGUAAGUGUAAUUGAUUAUGCAUUUGUUUUAAUGUAUAUAGAUUAUGAGAUUGACAAGAACAACAUGUUGCAGCACAUUGAGUUGGGGUUGUAUCUCAUCCGGAAGCGACAACAACAGUUUGAGGAAGUAGAAAUAGCGGACUGGACAACGACAGAUGUUUUUUUUAUGGUAUGUCAUCGGCCUUGACCAAGUGCCGUUAAUAAUUACACAUUUUCCAUACAGACAAUAGUGGAGGUGUUUAACCAUUGAUUGUUUUGUAUUUCACAGAAUCACAUUCGAACUUGCUUUGCGGAUAAUAAAAGAAAAAAACAGCAGCUUGGGUGGAAAAUCAGAAAAAGUUUACUAAACGUUGUAAAUGGGAAGGUUCCUCCGUGUGGGAUGGAUUGGCAGAACGUCUAUACGGUGUAUACCCCAGUUAUGUUGACGAAGUACAAGCAUUGGGUGGCUGUAAUGAUUGAUCUGGUAUUGUGUGAAAUCAAAGUGUACGAUUCAAAGGUUUCACUAAUUCCAGAUGACAUCGUAAAGGAAGAACUCGCCCCGCUAUCAAUUAUGCUUCCAAAUCUUCUCAACACCAUCGACUUUUAUGAAGAAGGUGUUUAUGCAAACAAUUGCAUGCGAGAUUGGUGGUGUCCGUGGCCAAUAGAGCGUGUGGAUGUUCCACAACAGUCUAAUGAGUAAGCACAACUUGCAAUUUAAUUUUAUUACUUUCAAUUGUCAAUUACGUUAGAAUGUCAUUAGUUGAAUUGAUCGAGUUCUUGUUUUGCUUCAGAGGCGAUUGUGGCAUGUUUGUGUUAAAGUACAUUGAGCUUAUCAGCGCUCAGCUUUCGUUAGCUAUUUGCACCUCGCACAACAUGCCUUUUUUUCGGUUGAAAUUGGCUGCGGAGAUAACAAGGGGAGAUGCUUACUUCCCAUGAUAUUGGUUGAAGAUGACAAAUGGUACAUGAGAAGGUUUUGGGAAUGUCCAUUCUCAAACUAAUGUAAAUACACAAUAGAGACGUACGUGUCCUUUUCGAAUUCUACCGCUAACUCCUUCAUGACAUUUACAUGUUUGUUAACCAAACUGCAUUGAAUUGGAAUUUUAAGACUGCAUAUGUUAAUUGGGAUUUGAAGAUGGCUUUUUAAGUGUAUUACACCAUUGCAAAGUGAUAUGUCAUUGUUGAUGCAAGCCACCAUUAUUCGCAAUGAGUUGCAUCAUAAUAGGUGUGUAAACAUGCGAAAGGUUUUCGGCAGCUCAGUAGCAUAAAAGUAGAAACAAUUACAAUAUACACAAAAUGAACAACAAUUCACUUGCGUUUGGACAAGCAAUACAGACACAACAGACAAACAAUAUACACAAAAUUGGCCUGCCAUAUACAGACAUACACACAGUAGACAUGCAAUAUACACACAGUAGACAUGCAAUAUACACACAAUAGACAUGCAAUAUACACACAAUACACAUGCAAUAUACACACAAUACUCCCUUAACACACACAAUAGACAUGCCCUUGCCCACAAUAAUGAUGCAAUAUACUUCAGUCCCCAAGUACACCAACCAUAAGGAAGUCGUAUUGAAUAGGAUAUUAAACUUAACAGUUGUUCUUCCUACUAAAAGAAAGAAUAACGUCCGUUUCCCCCCUUCAUUCUUACUUCAGUGAUACUUGUGGCCCCAAUAAACAUCCAAUAUUGGGUCAAGGAUAUUCCAUAUACAUGCAGCAAACUAUCAAUAAACCUUCAAUAAACAUUCAAUAUCGGUUCUAUAACAUGCGAAAUACAUGCAGUUAACAAAUAUUACAAAAUGGGUUUAGGGUCUCAUUGGUGGUGCGUGCAACAUGUCUUGUGCGGAAGAACUUUCACAAUCUUUGAAACCAUGCAGUUAAAUGAUCCUUAAAAGAACAAAUAAAAUGACAAUUGAUACAACUAAUAAAACUAAUACCAAGUCCUUAAUGGACUUCAGCAUGUUCAGCACUCUAGCAUCAUACGUGUCAUCUUGAUGUUCUGCUUCAGCGGAGGUUACAUCAACCCAUUCGAAUCCAUUGCAACUGGUGGCUCCCUAAUUGCAGGCAUCAUAUAUGGAAUAUAAUUCUGUUAGAGUUAGACAUGGGUUUAUUUUGACCCACAUACAUAUUAUUGAAAUUAAAACUUACAUAGGAGGUUAGACACUUCCAGAAUGGCUUCCCUCGAUUUUUGUCAGAUUUUGAAACCCGAAGCACCAUUGUAGCUCCACAAUACUGACACCUCUUUGUUUGAGCAGGAGAUGAAGACGAAGACAUGUUGAAUCUUCUCAGUUGUACCUCUUCUCACUCAGAUCUUCUCACUGAAACCUCUUCGGACUCAUACCUUCUCACUCAUCGUUGUCAUUCAUACCCCUUCACUCAUAACCCUAAACUUGUCACUCAGCUCUCUCUCAUCUCUGCCCAAAUCGAGUUAUAUUUCUUUUUUUUGGGAUCAUUUGGUGGGUUGGUCACGAUCUCGACACCCGUACCGUCGGCAUUGCGACAUCUUUUAGCCCGAAAAGCAAUAUAAACUACUUCACUACCAAAUAUAUUUUCUGAAAAAUGAGGGGACACUGCUUCAAAUUUAUUAUUUUAUAUAUAUUUCAUUAAGGCAACUAGUUGGAUAAGAAUCCGUCAUUAUUGGUUCCAUUUGAAUAACAUUACUAGGGGUAGUUGGGUGUGGGAAAAUGAAAAAGUAUAUGAUGGGACCUUCUGUCACUACUCAGUAAUCCAUCACAUUUGUAUCAAUGAAUUUGAUAGUGGGAUAAUCCCACAAAUGGCUAUGCAAAUAGCCAUUUAAUGAACUUUUUGACUGUCUGACUCUGUAUGCACCGUUAUGACGUUUUCCCUUCUUUUGUCUUCAGUUUUAAUUCACUUGGGUUCAGUUUCUUUAAAAAUGGUCAACUUGGAAAAACCCCAACUGGAAACACCUUUUCAAAACACUAUAAACAGAGGCUAAAACAAAACGUGUACCCCAAAUAUUCUCAUUUAUCCCCUCUGCCACUCCUCAAAUCGUUCCAUUCCAAAAACUUUUCAAUGAAUUCGAAACACUUCACUACAGUCGGAGGAAAGAGAAGGAAGCAUCUCCAUUUCGAUAUGCCCGAAGCCUUCAUCCCGGAGUCCGCUUGGUUUCAAGUGAUGUUAUACGUGGCAACCGAAUCAUCGGAAGAUCUCUUCCGUAUGGCAUCUGUGUGCCCAUUGUUCCAAACUUUGGCAAACAGUCCACAAGUGUGGAACACCAUUUCAAUGGCAAAGUACCCACACCAUCCUAGCUGGUACCGUGCCAGACCUGCGGUCCAGCAUUUCUUGCAACAAUGCAGGGCUUGCGAUAACCCUGAGUCGAUAUUUAGAGAAGCAUUCGAUAUUUUUUUCAGGGCCAGUAAGGUGGAAGCGUUGUAUGGGAUGCGCAUUGCAGCCACGGCAGGCCAUAUGGAAGCGGCAUAUGUAGUUGGACUACUUGGUAUAUCCGGAAUUGGUCAGUCAAAAGAGGAUGCAUUACAAUUCUUGUGUUCUUUGAAUCAACGUAACAACAUUGAUAUGAAAGGAACCAGGGAUGCUUUGACACGAAGAUUAACCGGACCAAGAGUUGCAAGACAUAUCGUAGAUAUAUUUGACUAUGGGAAGAUUAAGUUCAAUCGCUGCAGCACUUGUAACAACAAUGAAUGGUAUUUUGUUAUUCAAGGCUGGCCUAGUGAAGACAAGAUAAAUCCUGCCUUCUAGACUUGUUGCAAUCGAUGCAAAUGGCACCGUGAGAGUAUUUUUUGGUUCAAACUGAUGCGUGAGUAUGUUGUGCGAGGGAAUCAUGUAUUUUUGCAUUAGUUUUAGUACGAAUUUACGGUUUUGAUGCAUUGUGGACUUACUUCUCUUCACUUCUAGGUUGGCUGGCUACGUUGUACAAAUGUUGUUUAAAUGUUGUUUAAAUGUUGGUAUUUUGUCAUAAACCGUUUUAUAUAUAAAUGUAUAAUAUUUAUUAUAUAGCGGAAUUAUUACUUACAUCAUAGACGGCUACGAAUGACAUUUUACUGACACAGAUAUUUUGCUCACCCACCCCAAUAUUCAUAUUUGGUAAACGAAAAGUCAUGCAUGGAGUAAAUAGGUGUCUUUUCACCAAUGCUUGGGAAUGACAUUUUCCCACUUAGCAUAUUCGACAGGAUUUGGUUACACGUUUCUUAAGCAAAAGUUGAACAGUGAAUGACGUUGAAUAAUUUGUUUGUGUGGAAGGAGUACAAUGGAUGACUUGUAUAUUUCCAUAUUAUGUUUGAAAACAUCCCUUCAACCUAAAAAAUAAAAAAAUUAACAAAUUGAAGAACAGAGAAACCGAUGAGCACUACAAAUGGCCUAUUCGCACGGAAAAUAAAAUUGUUUUAAACAAGUUGGACUAAAUAUAAUUAACAAAUGGACAGCCUAAAAAGUAAUAUCAUAAUAAUUAUAAUAAUUGUGGAUUAAUAAUAAUAAAAUACUAAUGUAGCAUAACCAUGAAACAGGGAAUUCAGUAGGAAGAUGAAAUCUCAAUAAGUUCGUUGAAAUGUUCGGAUCGUUUUUCUAAUUUUUGUGUAUUUAGUUCUGAAUUUUCCAAGAAAAAAAGUAAUUAAAUAAUAAUUUAGGGUAAAAUGGGAUGAUGUGGCCAUGUUGACUGACGUACACUUGUGCAAGUACUCAUAAGUGAGGGGCUGAGAUCGCGCCAGGUGUCUUCUUGGAAUUAGGGUUGGCUAUUUUAGUGGAAAAAUCCUUGAAAAUAGGUAAAAAAUAGUAGGAAAUUCCUAUUCUAGGUUGGGAAAAUUACCCGCGCCUCCUUGUGACGUCAUAAAACUAGGAGAACCUAUAAAUCAUCCGUCUCGCAAUGAAAUAAUCCAAAAUGUUUUACAUAACUCACUUCCCUCUUUACCCUAAGUAUUGAUGUUUGUUAACUUGAACUUCAAUAACCUACUUCAACAAGCAUCUCCCGUUAAUGUUGGGAAUAAUUGUCUAAAAUGCGUAACAAUGAAUCGGAGAAUUCAGCAAGGGAGAUGGAGUGUCAAUGAGUUCGUAGCAAUUUUCGGAAAUAAUUUUGAAUUUUUGUGUAUUUAGUUAUGAAUUUUGUAAGACAAAGUAAUAAAAUAAUAAUUUAGGGUAAAAUGGGAGGAUGUGGCCAUGUUGACUGACGUACACUUGUGCAAGUAGUCAAAAGUGCCGGGCUGAGAUCGCGCCAGGUGUCAUCUUCUUUUCAAUUUUGGAUUCUUUUGUUAAAAAAUCUUUGAAACUAAGUAAUAAAUAGUAGGAAAAUCCUAAAAAUGCCCCCAAAAUUACUCCGGCCUACUUGUGACGUCAUAAAACUAGGAGAACCUAUAAAUCAUUCGUCUCGCAAUGAAAUAAUCCAAAUUGUUUUACAUAACUCACUUUCCUCUUAACCCUAAGUAUUGAUGUUUGUUAACUUAAACUUGAAUAACCUACUUCAACAAGCAUCUCCCGUUGAUGUUCGGAAUUAUUUUUAAAAAUGCGUAACAAUGAAUCGGAGAAUUCAGCAAGGGAGAUGGAGUGUGAAUGAGUUCGUAGCAAUUUUCGGAUAAUUUUUUUAAUUUUUGUGUAAUUAGUUCUGAUUUUUGUAAGGAAAAGUAAUAAAAUAAUAAUUUAGGGUAAAAAGGGAGGAUGUGGCCAUAUUGACUGACGUACACUUGUGCAAGUAGUCAUAAGUGACGGGCUGAGAUCGCGCCAGGUGUCCUCUUGCUAUUAUUUUGGCUUUUUUAGUGCAACAAUCUGUGGACAUAGGUAAUAAAUUCUACGAAAAUCCAAAAAAUGCCCGGAAAAUGAGAAAAUGAAAAUUAUUUGUACAUAACUCACUUUCCUCUUAACCCUAAUUCACGUGUAACACGUAUAUUUCGGAUAAUAUUCGAUAUAUAAUUUGUAAUAAUACAAUAUUUAGUUUCACUAUAUACAAUAAUAUGUUUUGUUAUAAUAAUGUACAUAAAUAAUAAUUGCACAUGCUUUGAAGCCAUCAUUGCAACUACGCCUAGAGCUUUCAAGACGUCAGUUCGUAUUCAAUAAGUUGUCCACAUGCAAGUGCACCUACAGUUUUCAACACGUCAGAGGUAUUCAAUAAGUUGUCCACAUGCAACUGCACCUAGAGUUAUUAACACGUCAGAGGUAUUCAAUAAGUUGUCCAUAUGACGCCGCAUUGGGAAUCAGUAAUAUAUUUUCAAUCAUGUCCAAUCACAUAAAAUAAUGGCAUACUUUUUCUCAAUAACCUCACACAAGUGAAGCAAUUUUAAAACCCUUACUGAAUAUUUGUCCUAGUCUAUAUGAGUGAUUAUAUAAUCAGUCUGCAUUUUUUUCACAGUAUAUGUUAACUUUGAGAGGGAUUCCACAAACAUAAAAUAUAAAGAAAGCAAGAAAUAGUAGGAGAUGAACCAGUAGAAAAAACAAUAUAUAAAUGGUACAUAAUAAUUCCAUAACCUUGUCACAAACGCACUCACAAAAGCUUUUCCAUAAACCUUGUCCUAACAUAUAAUAAAUAAAGGCAACAUUGCAUAUGAUGCAACCAUGUCCAAAUCUGAUACGUGAUCAAAAACAAAUGGACAUGGCAGCAACAUAUGACUGAAGUAGAUGGGCUCUUUGCAUCUUGUGUUUUCGUAAUUAAAGACAUCAAAAUAUUAAGGUUUAAAUCUUCCAUAGUAGUUAGCAUCAAAAUAGCUUUGAAGCAGAGUGUAAAGAAAAUUCCAAUUCCACUGAUUUGCCUCUGCUCAAACACGAGAACCAAAAUGGUUACUUCCCUUGCUGAGUAUAUUUGGUGACGUCGGAAACGGUAAUAGAUGAUCAAUCAAACCCAGGUACGACGAGUUUUGCAUAGGAUCGGAAGUAGUCGAAUCCAGCUUGCAUCACACGCUUCUUUGACUCCACUGCAUUAGAUGAGUUCUUGUAUUUUUGAACAGCUACACUCCGAAGUCGUUUGUGUCUACGCUUCAUGCGCUGCAACUUCACCCUAUCCAGAUUGGCCUGCCUUUUGUCAUCUUCAAUUUGGCCUUCAACAAAUUCCAAACGUGCCCUUGCCCUUUGGAUUUCAUCACCAAGUUGAAGAUGCCUCUCCUUCCAAAAAGCAACAACUCUUUCAGACUCAAAACUUCCAACAAAAUGGUCAUUCUGUCUAGGAAUGUGACAUUGCUUGUCUGGUGACUCACUUGCGUGUCGAAGGCGGUCUUUGUUUGGAGGGGUGUUUAUUAUGCUCACAUCAAACUUGGUUAGUAAAUCCAUUCUUUGGGGGGAAUGAGUUUGUUUGCUUGAGAGAGUAUCAGUAGAUGGAGACAGAUUCGGUGGAGGAGUGAGUUUUGUGUGGAAGGAGAAUUUAUAUGAAAGGGGUGAUAGUAAUACCAAGAAAAGGGUUCCCGCCAAAAAAUAUUUGGUUGAGAAUGUAUAAAUUAAUUUUUGGUCUGAUACAAUCUAAGUUGAAUCCUAACUAGUUUGGUUGAGUUAACUAAGUAGAUGUCACUUCCAUUGAGUUUCUUUCAACCACUAUCAGUGGUGUCAGGAGAGUGUGAGGUUGACAUGCUUGAAAAGCAAAACCUGACACCUAUUUUUAAAAAAUUCCAUAAAAAAAGUACAUAUGUUGACUACACACAAGCUUUGGUAUGUUGGUCUAUAAACCUAUGUUCCCUUUCUCAAACGAAAUUGCAUAUGCAAUCCUCAUCCUCCCAAAACAAAGAGGAUUAUUCAAGCAUGUCAACCUCUUCAGGCGCCAACAACACAAUCGAAGAUGACAAAUUGGAGUCGCAGGUUCUAUUUCCACAUUGUACUCGCCGACCCCUUCCUUUUUCAACAUCAUUUGGGAGUGAGGGGGACUCCGAUGAUCCAUUAGAGGCAAUACAUGCAGUCAGUGGCAAGCUGGAUUAUAAUUCCAGACUGAUCAAUUCAUGGCACGAGAAAUGUGUUGAAGACGAGGCAAUUUUGGCUGAUCUUAACAUUAGAGUGAACAAAGCGUUCUCCCAAAAGAACAAGUACUUGAAGCUGAGUCAUAGCAGGAAGCUGAAAGCUGAGGAGUUGGAUACAGUAAUGAAUGAUGAAAUGAAAGGUUGUUUGCUGAACCACAUGCGAUGCGAAGAGCACCAUAGUGAACUGGAGUUGGCAUUCAACGAAGGAUUCGACAAAUUUCGAGCAUUUGCGGCAACUACUCAUACAAGUUAUGAUUGGAACUAUGUGUCCCCUGAUGCUGUGAGAGAGAUACUAGACGAUGGGGGUGACAUGAAUGAGCAUAAGCACGUCAAAGCUGCUCGGAAGAAGCCGACCGAUACGACUAAGUGAUUGCGGCUACCGCUGUUCAGUUGGUUGAGGGUGACCGUGGUAUUGCACAUAUACUCCCUUAAUGUCAUUAUCUAAUUUCAAAUAACACAAAUAUCAGUUUCAUUUGCUUCAUAUAUAAUUAUUGGGACUAUGUAUUGCAAGUCAUCAUGUGUUAUAAUGUCUAACAUUAUAUUUUGCAAAUAUGGAAAUAUUAUUCAAUAAGCAGUCAAUAUCACAGCAAGCCGGGAAUCAGUAAAUGCUCCUUAUCAUGUCCAUUUACAUUAAAGAGCUGGCGUACUAAUGUGUUCAAAAAAAACUGAGACGUGAGUCAUAAGUAACAUAACAUGUGCUAUACAUUGUUUACUGAAUGGUUUAUGGUUUAUUUUUAUAUAAUAAAAUUCCAAAUAUUGCUGAAGAUUUAUUUCGUCUAUAUGACUAGGGAUAUGAGUGGCCAUAAGCAUGUGAGACCUGCUAAGAAGAAGCUGACGAGUACGACCGAGUGAUUGUGGCUACCGUUGUUCAGUUGGUUGGGGAGAUCGUGGUAUUGCUAAGAGGGAGCACAUAAUAUGUUUUGCAAUCAAAUGUUCUUUUGUGUGUGGAAUUAUGAGUAUUUAUGUAAGUUAGUGUACCCUUUAAUAUUUUUCACCUAAGUAUCGAAAUGUAAUUAGCUGCAAUGUUAUGUUUCAUUUUUACACGCUGCUUUCUAUUUGCUCUGUUCCAACAAAGUGCUUCAAGUAUCCUUCAGUUACAAAAGUGUACAAAAUCGUGCCCCUAAUAACCAGUCGUCAAAAGUGGCUACUGCUGGAAAUGAUUACUGGUAAUGGAAACAACAGCUGGCUGCUGGAAAUGCUGCAUUAGCCUGAGGAUUUGAAAAAUGAAUCUCUGUUAAAACAUAAUUCACCCUAAACUGCCCAUUUUACAUGGUAAAGGUCAUUGCUUCUUCACAUAACUACAAAUUUCAUACUUGAUCAAAUGUCUAUGAAAAUUUAUAAAUAGGGAGAAGACGUAAAAUUAACAUGUCUCCAAAUUUCAUGGAAGAAUGAAACCAAGGAAAUUUUCAUUUCAAUUACCAGUGGACAUAGUAAGAGCUCAUCGGUGGACAUGAACAAAAACACAAUAAUAUUCAAAAACUGAAUCUAUAAAACUUCACCUGAUCAUUAAUCUUCAUAACAACCACAUUUCGUCUAAUACAAAUAUAAAUCAUUUAGUUGGUCCGUGCAUCCUGUCAAAAUCGUCGAAUAAUGGGUCACUACGAUGUAUUGGAGUUGAUUCGUCAUUGUUCGACGGUGAUGUCCUGCAUAAACAUCAAACACAAGCACAUAAAAAUUUUACCUUUUCAUAUUUUAGAUGUUAUUACAACUAGUGUUAGCAUCUUACGGUGUGUUCAAGGCUGGGCAUUGUCUUCUAUCAUGACCAAUGUGUCCACACUCCCGACAGUGUCUAAUCCCUCGCUUCAUUGCCUUUUCCUUUGCUCCCGUUACUCCUUUCGACCUUCCUUUGCACCUCACUCUCUUAGGGUCUUUCAUAUAUUGUGUUUGAGAGCUGGACCCUCCAACUUCGUUAUUACUUAGUCCAUCCUUCAGCAACUUUAACUUCACCUGCAAACUUUUUAGAGUCUCUGACAGUAGCUCACAUCCUUCUUCACUCAUUAAUGCAUCCUCAACCACAUCUGAAGCAAGUCGAGACAUUGUACUCCGCUUUAUUAGAAGGCCAGGAUCUGCACAGUCUUUAAUUUCGUUGCCAUUUGCAUCUGACACCAUUCCAGAUUUCGCAGUUUUCUUCCACCUCUUCAAAAUAUAUUUAUCGGGCAUAUAUUCAAUCUGGUCCCUUCUGAACAAUGCUAGGAUGUGCUUGCAAAUAAUUCCAACAAAUUCAAAUCUUUUGCAGCUACACGAUGCGUGGUCAGAAUCUUUGACAUAUACGACUUCUGCCACUCUUGUUUCCCAAUUUUUCCUUUCGCUCACGUUAAAGACAACUUUACAAGCAUCCUCUGUUUUGAGCUCUAGGAAACAUGCUGUACUUUGUAUUAGUUCUUGCUCAAACUUUUGAAACAUUGUCCUUGUGUACAAGGUAGCCAUUUGUUUGUUCAUUGGCAUCGGUAGAAGACAUUGAGCCACUUCAAAUGCAUCUACGUGAUCAGCAACUAACUCUUUUUCACGUUGAUGAGAAAGUGCCCUCUCAAAUCGUAUUAUGAAAUCCAUCAACGAAUUUCUCCUUGAUAUGUAUUGCUUGAAAAAACCAUGAGAACCUUCCGCUCUUUGGCUGCUUGACAUUCCAGCGGCAAAAAAUUGUCGUGCGUAGGCUGGAACCCAAGAUUCCCUUAAAUCAAACAUUGAACUUAGCCAUGGAUGGUCGGUCAAACCAGCCUUUGUAACCACAAUAUUCCAUUUUGCAUCAAACUCAUCCUUAUUGUCAGUAUCCCAUAUGGCUUUCUGAAAUUCACGCCAAUACUCCUUAUAAGCGUCACGUGGUAACUUAACAGAGAACUUUGAUGUGAUGUGCCAUAUGCAAAGUCGAUGAAAUGUACUCGGGAAGGCUAUUGAAAUCGCUAUGGCCAUUGCCGCAUCUUGAUCUGUAAUGAUCGUUUUAGGUUCCCCACCUGGCAUGGCUUUCUUAAACUCCUCAAACAUCCAAACAAACGACUCAGUCGUUUCCUUGCUCAAAAAUGCACAUGCUAAGACAAUUGUUUGACCAUGGUUAUUAACUCCCAACAUUGGUGCAAAUGUCAAGUCGUAUCGAUUCGUGUUGAAUGUGGUAUCGAAUACAACAACAUCUCCAUAAAACCCAUACGCCCGUCUAGAAGUUGCAUCUGCCCAAAAACAUCGACUAAACCUGUCAUGCCCAUCUCCCUCAAUCUUGAAAUAAAAAGCCUCAUUUUUUUUCUGUUCAGCCAUAAAAUACUCGGUCACUAGUUCAACAUCGUGGUUCCUCAGCUUCCCAUUCACACUACAUUCAAGAUUGUAGAUAUCUUUUUUGAUAAAACCGAUUUUAUCCAUUCCUCCGGAUUGCACCUUGAAAAUACUUACCUUAUGAUGAAUGGGAAUAUUAACUGAACCCAACUGUUUUGUGAGUACUUUGUAGAAUCUGAAAUAUGACGGUGUGAUCUCAAUAAAUGCAUUCUUUCUGAGGGUGUCAUCUUAUGAUUGUGUCCCUCUGCAAAAAGAGAUAUGGUAUACUUCUUGCUCCCAUUUGUCUUCACAACCACAAUCUUAGCUUUGCAAUUGCAUCUACUUAUUCCCCGUUGUCUUUUUCUCUCCCGAGUUUCAUCCUUCCUGUAUGCACCUUGUUUGCAACAUACAAAUUCUUUCCUCAAAAUCUCUUUCUUAUUUUUCCCCCAAAAGCUAGAAUGAAGUCGAAUACCAAAGCCAGCAAAGAAUGCAUAUCUAUUAUAGAAAUUGUAAACGAGGUCAAGCGAGUCAAACUUCAUCCCAACUGCUGGUGUUUCCUCAUUUCUUACUUCAGGAAUAUAAACCCUCCCAUUAGCUGUUGCACAUUCAUCACUCUCUGAGCCCCCAGACAUUUUAUCUACGUAUAUUAUUGAUCCACUUCUAUAUUACUGCAUAGCAAUUAUUCAUUCAUUAAUCAGUCAUUACUGCAUCACAACAUAUCAAUGCAUUCCACUUACACAAAACAUUGCCCAAAUUGACACAAAAUACGCAUAGCCUAACUUCCGAUUACACAAAACGCAAGCAAAAUUUCAUAAAAGUUACGUCAUCUCUUGUGAAAUAAUCUGGUCAAAAUAACAUUAGAACCAACAUGUUCAACUAAGAACACAAAUGUAAUUCAAACCACCAAUUACAGAACUUCACCCAAUAUCCUCUCCAACUGCUUACUCCUAAUGUCAUUAAGCCUAAGUUUAGGUUCUUUUACCUACAUUUCAUAAUUUUCCACCCCGACCAACAACAAUGAACUAAGAAUAUUGAAUAUUCAUAAGGAAAUGACACAUUAUUGAUGCCACAAAUGACGAAUUUCCCACCCUCACAAAAGAUAAACCUAACCCAAUAAAAUCAAUCCAGCAAGUGAACUUACCUCUCAAAAUCAAUCGGGAGCUCUGAAGUCAGUCAGCUUGAAAGAAUGUGGUGGACAUUACAGAAGACUCUUUGGUAUUUGAGACUCCAUCUCUACCAAAAUCGAGGAACAACUGCUGCUGCGGCUUCUAGCUACAAAAACAGAUAUGCUACUUUGCUUUCAUCUGGAAUCUUGUCAGCUGAAUGAAAAAGAGAAGGGGUUUUCACUUGAGCCAUAGAAUCAAAACAGGGCAACAGCUAGGUAAGAGCCAUUCUUCGUAAUACCCAGGAUACCAUAGAUCGCAGGCCUCCCAACGAGCUAAUGACAGUCGAGUGACUAUAAGGUUUGGGAGAUUUGGAUCCUUCUAAUUGUGGGUUUGCUUUACAUUCAAAAAGAAAGGAUUGUGUUCUUCAGUUUUUCACAGAGAGGGAAAGAGGGGAACAACUGAAGUUGGGUUUCUAACGGGUUAGAUUUCAACCCGAUUCUACAUGCACCCUCUUUUAAAAACUCACCGUUGGAUGAAAUCCAACGGCUCUUACAUGCCCCUCAAAAACACCCCUUAUAACUUCCCACUCACUAUAGAAGCUCCCCUGUUUGUGUUGUUGAAUUGGGUCUUUUAGUUGUUUUUGUAAACUCUGAUUUAAGUCUAGUUUGGUAUUGCUGUACUUUUAAAAAAAACUACUUCCGCUGUGCUGCUAGAAUACUCAGCUGUAAAAAAAAUUAGUUAUGCUUUUGGUAAACUAUAUUUGAAAAAGUGCUGUGAGUAAUCCAAAUGUUUGGUAAAUGACCAAAAAAAAGUGCUUUUAAUACGUACAAUGACUAAAAAGGACAUGAUGAUGGAACUAUUUGAUUUUUUCUUCAUUCUUUUUCUACUUAAAAAAAACUUCACUACAUAAUUUUUUUUUCUUUUUUUAUUUAUACUAUACACGUGUUCCUCUCUUCUCAAAAAAGUAAAUGCCUUUUGUUAUGUAUUGAAUGCUAACCCAACGACACCAAUUGGAAACCCAACACAGCCCAUCUCUCCACUUCAAUUUUUCUCUUUCUACCAUUUACAAGUUUUUUUUCUUCAUUCCUUCGUCUAACCAAAAAUAUCUCAUGUUUCCCCCAAUUAGUUUUAGUACUUUUGGGUAGGUGAGACUGAAAAGGGGAAAAAUUGUAUGUUGGGUUUAUGUUUUGGUGUUCUUGCAAUGGGAGAUAACAUAGUGGAGAAAGUAGCCAUGGUGAAAAUACAGAUUUCUGGGUUGCAGCCAUGGAGAUUUGAGCUGAUUUACAGUGCUGUAGUGGGGGUAGUUGAAGCCCCCCCAAAGUUGGGACUACUGCAACAGGAUCUUUCCACCCAAAACCAAAAACAAGAACAACAAACUCAGGUGGAACAUGAAACUCAUCACUCUCUCUCUUCCUUCGACUCGGGUUUUCUCUCUUCUUCCUCAAACCUGCGACAAAUAGAAAAACCCCCAAUUUAACAGAGAAAACUCUAGAUGCAGAAAGUUUGAGAAGUAGAAAACCAAAAAACCAUAAUUGUAAUUAAGUUAUUGAUGAAUGGGCAACCUUCUUAGCAAUUAAUUUUUUGAUGUCCACAAUGAGAGUUCCAGCAGCGUCAGAGAGUAGAGAAGGAAAUGAAGGAAAUAGAGUUCACAGAAUGGAGAAGAAAAAAGGGGCAAAAGACCGUCAAUUUGUAAAAUAAGUGAGGGUAUUACGGGAAAGUUAAAAGUUCAUUAAAACAACCGGUUAAAUUUUUUUUGAAGCAGCUUUUAAAAGCUUGGUAGAGACGGCUUCGAAAAAACAGCGAUCAUUGACUGCGAUUUUAAAAAAAAGCAGGAUUCCUGAUGUUUUCCAAACACCCAACUCAUGAAAUUUUUUUAUUAAAGCUGCUUUUUAAGAAAAUUAAACGCUGCCAAACACCACCUUAACCAUUUUCUUUGCGUGUGCCAAAUUUAUAAUUUUGACCAGUGUCAUGCAGGAAAAUGUUUCAUGCUUUGUUAACAGGGGGCUUUCGAUGAGUAUUUUAUUUAGAUGAAAAGUGAUUCAUUCCUUUCCUUUAUGGAUUCAUCUUGUUAGGUUGAUCUAUUGAAGAAUGAGCUUGGAUUUGAUGAGGCUUUUAACUAUAAAGAAGAGGCUGACUUGAAUGCGGCUUUCAAAAGGUGCAUAUGAGUAAUGAUAGAGAGAUUACAUUUAUAAACCCUAGCGGACCAUGAAUAUAAUGAGUCUUAAAUCUAUUAGACAAUUGGUUAGUUGACAGGUGGUAUACAAAGCAGUCUACAAAUGUGAUCUCCCUAUCAUUUUCCGUAAAAUACAUAUUUAUUAUGUUAUACUAGUUUCCUUUAGUAAGAAAAGAAAGGAAAAAAACUAUUAUUAAGAAUUUGUGUGUUGUUAGGGUUCAUCAUUGGGCUGGGCCAACUCAAAAAUUUUGGGUUCGAGCCGAGCCCUCAUGGGCCGAAAUGGGCCAGACUUUUUGUUAAAAAGUCUUUUCAAUCUUUUUGUUACACAUUUCGUUUUUUCAAAAGUGAUGGAUAUAGAGUAUUCUCUUAAACAAUAGUAUAGAUUACUACAUAAUUUAAGAAAACAAAAAUAUAAUAGCCAAACUUUUUUACUAAACCUAGACCAAUAACCAAUAUAUUUAAAAAAUAUUAUACCUAAAAAUGAAUCUUAUGAUGUGCAAUUUGUGCCUUAAUUAACUUAUAUCCCAAAUUAGGAUUGACAUCAUGAAAAUUAAAGCAAUUUGUGCCUUUAAAAUUAAUAAACCCAGAAUAAGCUUUCAAAUUCUUUAUUGAACCGUUAAAUUUGAACUUGACAAAAAAGGGGCACUAAGAGAUAUAGUGCAUAUAUUGCUUGUUUGUUACAAAAUUUUAGACAACAUUGAAAAAAUUAACUUAAUUUAUAACAUGUGUAAACAAAAUAAAAAGUUUAUUAGUUUAUCAUACAUAUUACAUUAUUUUGAUUAAGUAUAAAAUGAGGUUAGGGAAUGCAUCAAUUAAUCUUAAAAAAAUGAAAAGCAUAAGCGGGCGGGCCGAGCGGGCCUAACCAUCUUGCUAGGCUGGACUUUGACCCAUCAAGCCUCGGACUACCCACUUCGGAGCCGCGGGCCAAAUGAUGAUCCCUAUAUGUUGUAUAUGAUGCUUUGAAGCUUGAGCUUUCUUGAGUGAAGGAUAAAUUUUCUUUGUAAUUACCAUACACUUGCCAGGUAUUUCCCUGAAGGCAUUGAUAUUUACUUUGAGAAUGUUGGAGGCAAAACGCUAGACGCAGUGCUCCUCAACAUGAGAGUCCAUGGCCGCAUUGCUGUAUGUGGAAUGAUCUCACAGUACAAUCUUGAUCAAGCAGAAGGGGUAACAAAUUUGAUGCACCUUGUGUAAAAACGUAUCCGCCUCCAUGGAUUUUCGGUAAGAGAUCACUAUCACAUCCAUCCGAAAUUCGUGGAGUUUAUGCUGCCUUACAUUAGGCAAGGAAAGAUUGUUUAUGUGGAAGACAUAGUUGAAGGCCUUGAGAGUGGUCCAAGAGCGCUGGUUGGACUUUUUAAGGGUCUUAACUUUGGAAAACAAGUAGUUGACGUCUCUGCAUGAAUAAGUUGUUUUGUCAAUCGAUUUGGUGUGCUUGUGUUUCUAACCACUAUAACUUUGUUAAGUGGCUCUUUGGUUUUAUUUUUAUGUUUUUGGAUCCUUUUUGGGAUUGCAUAUGUUAAGUGGUGCACUUUGUCAUACAGAAGAUAUUCAUCAAUAAUAAGGGCUAAUUCAGGAUUGUUGUCACUUUUAAAAAAAGAUGCUUCUGUUGUGUUUUGGAAAUAAUAAGCUGUAAAGUAGUUCCAUGCGUGUUAAACAAUAUUUUUAAAGUGUUGUUAGUAUAAAAAGUUAUGUCAAAACCGUUUGGUAAAUUUUGAUAUAAAACUAGUAACUGUUGAUAAUGACUAAAACAUACAUGAUAUGUCGAAAGUGUUACGUGGUAACCAUAUGGUGGUGGUGGCGGUGGUGGUAUAGGUGGAGGUUGAGUUGGUGGUGGUGGUGGAGGUGGAGGUGGUGGUGAGGCGUGCUACGGGCACCAACUUAAAUACUAAUUUAAUGAUACCAACCUAUGUGGCAUAUGACAUGACAAUUUAUGUCAUAUGCCACAUCAUUUUUUUUAUUAGUUAAGUUUUAACAAUUUUUUGUCAGAAUUAACUUAAUUAUUUAGUUUUAAAUAAAUAAAUUCUGCUCCACGCCUCCCUUCCUUCUCGGAUCUACUACCAUGGCCUCCUUCCUCCCCAACUUGUAUGCCCUUAUUAUUACGCACAUUGAAUUUGGCUUUCGGGGUGUGACAUAUUUUUACCAAUCCCAUGAAGCUUUUCUUAUCUUUGAAUGCUUGAGUGCUAACCAUUGUGUGUUUCCCUUGCUUUAGGAAGAUUGCCUCACUCAGCAAGAAUGCAUGGUGAGGUGUUUGUGAAUGGUGCAAAAUCGGUACAUGUACAUGGCCACGACACCGAUAUAUAAAUGAGAAGAGAAUUCCUUGGUCAGUAUCAAUAUUGCGAAACUGUUGCAGCAUUGAAGGGUUGUGUGAACUCCUCGAUUUCAAGCGAAGUCGAAUAUUGCUUGAUGUGGAAGAUGGCUCAAACUAAUAAAAAUGAGGAAAACGGAUCAUACCAACAAAAAUAUGGCAGAUGGCCAGAAUCAAUAUAACCGUGGUCAGAUUUGGGAAGUGAGGCCAUGGCAGAUUCGGAGAGGGAGGGAGGCCAUGGCAGAUCUAUAAAGGAAUGGAGAAACAGAUCACACCUCUUCCCUUCUCCUCAUACCACAACUCAUCAUACACACCCAAUCGAUUUUGAAAUAUUACAUAAAAGUUGUGAUGGCGCUGGAACUGCAGAUUCAGAACGUUUUUUAUAUGCUUCCCACAAGCAGUCAGACAAACCCUUAGAGGACGAGUGACAUCAUUACCUUCUCAACUUACCAAAGAAAGAACUCCUUCCGAAGUGGUAACCACUUGCCGAUGCUCCCAACUACAGAACCAAGUUUCCAUGGACACGUGUCACCUCCACAAUAGUUUGCACAAAGUCCGACAUUGAAACUUUGUGCAAAACUCCCAUUUUCAGGGAACAGUACCUAAGGAAAAGGGGUAACUACUUUUCACAUUUACUGUUACUCUGCCAAAAUUACCACAUAUACUCGCUGACUUAAGUAUUGGAGAGUCUUCGGCAGGUACCACACCAGUGUCCGAAGCUUGACGAUCCCUUCUUCCUUGUUUUCUUAUGCAAGAUCCCUCCAUACCGAAGGUCCACAACCUUCUCCCUUGCUGAAGAUUUAACACUCCUUUAUCUAAGUUAACCCUCCGAAAAAGAGCAUCAACACGCGCAGCACUCAUUAUCUUUCAACAAUCUGAUUAUCUUAUACUAGUUAAUUUAUGGGUUGUUUGAUAACAAUUUCAAUUUUAAUUUUUAGUUUUCAUUUUCAUUUUUUUUGAAAACUGAAAACAUGUUUGGUAUUAGAUUUCGUUUUCAAAUUAAAAAAAAAGUGAAAUCUAGUUUUCAAAAUCACCUUUUUUUUAAAAAACAACUUGGAAGUGUUUUAUGUUUUUUUUUUAUGUUUUUUUUUUUUUUUUUUUUUUUUUUGUGCACUAUUGUUUGUUGGAGUGUUAGUUGACUUUCUUUGCACACCAAGGUUUCCCAUAUUAACUCAUGCAUAGAUUGGAAUUGAUUUCCUACUCUAAAUAGUAUUAGAAGUUAUUAAUUACCUUACUUAGCCUUCAAGGAAUAUUGUAUUAUAAAUAUGGCCUUCUACAAGGAGAAGAAUACACAGAAAAUUCUCACCACAAUUACUCUUUCGUAAUUUUAGCAUUAUUUCAUUCAUAAGUUUCACAUCACCACACAUGAAAUGCACUCCGGUUACCAAAAGUCGGUAUUUGGGACCUCCCAACUUGGACUUGGUCGCUCAAUUCGUGCUUUUGGCCACAAUCCCAAUCCAAACCUCGUCAACUCCAUGUCCAAAGGUCACUAAAAAAUAAUCAUAAUUUUAAAAAAUUCACCAAAAAAUAUUACGAAUUUUUUGUCAUUCCUGCUUUAACUUUACCUUUUGUUUUCAAAUGUUGACCCGUCCCAACCCAACUCUCAAUGCUCGAAGGGUUCUUUCGUGUAGUUAAGAGUUGGGUUUUCCAAGGUAGGUCUAUAUUGAUUCGAACAACUUUGCGGUAUAUCUGUGGGUAAGAUACUGUUCUCAAAGUAGUAAAGGCUGAACUAAAAGGCUAAAUGGGAAAAUGAAUACUUUCUUUUCUCUUCCUCAAGAAACAUACAUCCUCACCACAAGAGAGGGAGAGUUGCUUGGUAUUUUGUUAAAUAAAAUAAAAUAAUUAAUAAUUGAAAAUAGAAAAUGUUUGAAAAGGAUAUUGGGAAUAAAGAGAGAAGAUGCGGGUGUGAGUAAAAUAACAAUAAAAGAAAAUUAAAUCAAAAAUAAAAAAAUAAAAAAAUAAUUAAGUUUUGGGGAGUAGAAAUCGGGAUGGAGGGGGGAGAGAGAGGUUUUUUUUUAAAAAUUUUUUAUUCGUAUUUUAAUCAAUUUUGAUAUUGUUGAGGCCCAAAAAAGUUACGGGAAGCCCAAAGACAUUUAAAGCCCAAUAUAACAUAUAUUCUCAGUCAUGCGUUAAUCCAAGCUGUAAUUCGGAUUUAAUUCAUUAAAUAAAUAUAAAAUAGUGUACAUGUCAUGCUAAACUAAUAAUACAUUUUCCCCAUGCUAAUCACCUAUCAAGCUCACAUGAACCCAAGUCAUGUGAUUUACGGGCUUGCAUGAGGGAUUGUGGUGUGGAAGGUUACGGAGGUCCACAAGGCCCACGGAAGCUCUUGGAUAACAGAGACUUUGGGCUAGCUACUUGAGAGCACCAAAGUCCAAGCCCAUUACUUAGAGUUCUCCAAUGUGGGUGAGCAAAUGAGACAUUUUUCAAGCACUGCCUUUUACCUAUAGGAAAUAGUCAUUUUCCAAAUACCAAGCUUUACCCGUUGGAAACAAGCAUUUUCCAGCACUUCCUAUUACCCAUUGGAAACAAGCAGUUUCCAGUGCUUCCUUUUACCAAUAGGAAAAAAUCUGUUUAUGAUACCUAGCUUUACCUAUUGGAAAAUAGCAUGUCCUAGUCCUCCCUUUUAACCAUUAGAAAUAGGUUGGUUCCAAUACCUCCCUUUACCUAUUGGAAAUAAAGGAAAACCCUCACCCUCUAUAAAUUGGCACUCAUGGCUCAAGCAAAAGGCACCAAUUUUUCUUCAGCCAAUACUUCCUCACUCGGCUACUGCAAGCAUCCCAGCAGCCACCAACCCCCAUAAAGCAUCACCUAGCUCCAAGCUUUUCCUUCCUUCCAAGCUUUAAACACCAUAGCCUUUAAACCUCAAGCUUUUCCUUCCAUCCUCCUUCUCUUGAAACUCUUAAAUCCCCAUAGCCAUAGCCACACACAACAAAUUAUCAACACCAAACUCAAACAUAUCCAACACCAAGCCAAGCACAUGCAUUCUCAUUUGCUAAACUUGUGGGUCUUUAGCUCCUACACUCCAAGCUCUCAUGCUAAGCUCACAUAAUCUCAUACCAACAUCAGCAAGUCAUCUUCAACUCUUCGUCGAGCUGCCGAAAACAUCAACACAAAACAUGCAGCCGUUGGAAGAAGAACAAAGUACUCUCCCGGGACUUGCUUUUCCCUUGGGACACUUUGGGCCUAGUUCUCGCUAACUCAGAUAAAGGAACAACGAAGUCUUCAUUCAUCACUCUAUGGCGACCCAAGAAUCAACAAAGCCCGGAUGAGCCUUCGAACGAAAGUGACCACAUGCAAAGCUCAAGCUUCAAUAGCCAAGCCCAAGCUUUUGGUUCCUAAAAACAUGCUUACGACAGCUGCAACAAACAAUACCUAAGUCACCAUAAGUGAUAUGCCCCAGCGUCUCAAGCACUUUCUAUGCCCUGACAAUUCUAAUGAUCAAGUUUUAGAGUCAAACCAAAAGGCCAUUGGGAUGUCUCAAUUGCCACAAUUCCAUAAUCAAUCAUCAUCAAGCCUCAAGCCUUAUUCAAGAAAUCCAAGCACUAUUCUUUACUCAAGAAGGAAAACAUCUCAGUUCGUGGCAAAUAGAAGGAAAAUACUACGAAGGUACCGGAAGAACCUAAACACUGUCAAGAUGAAGUUUCCUUUACCAAGCAAUCAAAAUUUUUGAAGUGAUGUCAAGCUAUCAAGAAAAAGAGUAAAGUCACUAUGCAACACAACAACCAAAAUAUGCUUGUAGUAACCAAGAUUCAAGCCAAGCAAAAUGUGGAAGAUAAUGAUGCGUUGUAUGAAAUGCUCCUGGAAGAUAACACAAGCCCUAUAGUCAUGCUGCCGGAAGAGUGAACCAUCAUGCCACUAAAUUUGAAAGAGGAGCCCCAUAUCUGAGUACUGGAAGGCAGCGCAGUGGACUCCAAAACUAAGAUCUAGUCCAAGUGACUUAAGGCCUCCAUAUUGCAAUGCUUAUUUGCCAACACCUAUACCGCUUUCAAGCUACUGCAGACACUAUCAUGCUCAAAUCCUUAAGCAUCUCCCAUUGUAUUUUCAUCUUCUAAUCUACCAAAGCCCUCAUGAUUGACCAAGCUAUAUCUUGAUUCAACUCCACCCACUUGCUCUUUACAGCAGCCCAGGCCCAUCUGUAGCUGCCGGAACAAAAAAGCCCCAACGUAAAUGACAAAACCGAAACACUAAAGCACAUCCACCAUGCUAAAUAGCCCAAAAGCUAUAUUAAACCACGACACUUUAGCCAAUACCAAGCGUACAAGCCAAUGCCCAGCAUCCAAGCAUACAAGCCAAAGCUUAGCGUACAAGCCAAUACUAAGCAUACAUGCCAAUGCCAAGCAUACACACCAAUGCCAAGCAUCCAAGCCAAUACCAAGCGUACAAGACAAAGCCAAGCAUACAAGUCAAUACCAAGCAUACAUGCCAAUGCUACGCGUAUACGCCAAUGCCAAGCAUCUAAGCCAAUACCAAGCAUACAAGCCAAAGCCAAGCGUACAAGCCAAUACCAAGCAUAUAUGAGCCCAAGAUCAAGCGUACAUGCCAAUGCCAAGCAUCCAAAUCAAAUACUAAGAAUACAUGUCAACAUCAAGCAUACAUGCCAACACCAAAUAUACACGUAAAAACCAAGGAAGCAAGCACGGAUGUUUCAUGCAUAUUGAAGAACCAGCCAUGUCAUGCCACUGCCAAUUAUUUUGGGCUGAAAUAGAUUAUUGGGCCCAUCUCACUGCCACUUCAUAGCCCCAAUAAUCAAGGGGGCUAAUGUUGAGGCCCAAAAAAGUUACGGGAAGCUCAAAGACAUUCAAAGCCUAAUAUAACCUAUAAUGUCACUCAUGCGUUAAUCCAAGCUGUAAUUUGGAUUUAAUUCAUUAAAUAAAUAUAGAAAUAGUGUACAUGCCAUACCAAAAUAAUAAUACAUUUUUUCCAUGCCAAUCACCUAUCAAGCUCACAUGAACCCAAGUCAUGUGGUUUAUGGGGCUUGCAAGAGGGAUUGUGGUGUGGAAGGUUACGGAGGUCCACAAGGUUCAUGGAAGCUCUUGAAUAAUGGAGACUUUGGGCUAGCUACUUGGGAGCACCAAAGUCCAAGCCCAUUACUUAGAGUUCUCUAAUGUGGGUGAGCAAAUGAGACAUUUUUUAAGCACUUCCUUUUAUCCAUAGGAAAUAGUCAUUUUCCAAAUAUCUAGCUUUACCCGUUGGAAACAAGCCUUUUCCAGCACUUCCUAUUACCCACUGGAAAUAAGCAGUUUCUAUUACUUCCUUUUACCAAUAGGAAAUAAUCUGUUUAUGGUACUAGCUUUACCUGCUGGAAAAUAGUAUGCCCUAGUGCUCCCUUUUAACCAUUAGAAAUAGGUUGGUUCCAGUACCUCCCUUUACCUAUUGGAAAUAAAGGAAAACCCUCACUCUCUAUAAAUUGGCACUCAUGGCUCAAGUAAAAGGCACCAAUUUUUCUUCAGCCAACACUCCCUAACUCAGCUGCUGCAAGCAUCCCAGCAGCCACCAACCCCCAUAAAGCAUCACCUAGCUCCAAGCUUUUCCUUCCUUCCAAGCUUUAAACACCAUAGCCUUCAAACCUCAAGCUUUUCCUUCCAUCAUCUUUCUCUUGAAACUCUUAAAUCCCCAUAGCCAUAGCCACACACAACAAAUUAUCAACACCAAACUCAAACAUAUCCAACACCAAGCCAAGCACAUGCAUUCUCAUUUGCUAAACUUGUGGGUCUUUAGCUCCCACACUCCAAGCUCUCAUGCCAAGCUCAUAUAAUCUCAUACCAACAUCAGCAAGUCAUCUUCAACUCUUCGUCGAGCUGCCGAAAACAUCAACGCAAAACACGCAGCCGAUGGAAGAAGAACAAAGUACUCUCCCGAGACUUGCUUCUCCCUCGGGAUACUUUGGGCCUAGUUCUCGCUAACUCAGACAAAGGGGCAACGAAGUCUUCAUUCAUCACUCUAUGGCGAUCCAAGAAUCAACAAAGCCCGGAUGAGCCUUCGGACGAAAAAGACCCCAACAGAUAUAAAAAUACCAUUUUUCCCCUGCAGUUAACAGAAAAGUUAACAGCCGGACCAUUUGUCCUAACGAAACUGAAGUUGAAGAACUACGGGAACCAUUUUGAAAAUUGAGGUACUCAAAUACAAAUCGGGUCUAAGUUCAGGGAUUAAUAAAACAAUUAACCCCUGAGUUUAUAAUGCUCGAGAGUAUAUAGGAAGAGGACACUCCAACUGGCAGCUAUGGAGGAGGCCAAGACUAGUAGUGUCUAUUCUGUGAAAGCUAACUUUGCUUUCUUAUUAUCCACAACUUAGAUAUAUCAAUGGCUUCUUGCAAGAACCUCAAUUCUUUAUGAACUUUCUGCCCUAAAAUGCUUUAUCUAAUAGCUCAGACAAUGGUGAAAGAAAAAAAAUUGUUGUUGGAAUCUUAGCAUAAUAAUAUUUUCCAGCCAAAAUCAGUUGUUAGAUUCUCCAACAGCACAAUCUCUUUUCGCAAUCACAUACUAGUCAAUCCUACAGAGCAUAAGAUCCUACUUUGAGGGGUGGAAAGGAAUGAAUUCAACUCACCACUAUUAUGACCAAGGCAAUAAUUUUCAUUUCCAUCACAUGAUUCUAGGUGACCCACAACUCCAUACCACCAACCUGCAAUAUAUACAGAAAAUCCUAUCAAGCAAUGGACAAUGGGAAAUUAAUUAAUUUCACCUUUUAUUUAAGUUUCUGCAUAUUAAACGAAUCUACUUUCAUUAUAUAUUUAAGGGAAAUGUAAGCCUUUUUUUUCGUUCUUUACCCUUUUUUUUCCUCACCUUAAUGGGGCUUGAGGAUGUUUGAAUUGUUCGCUAGAACUACUUUCAUUAUCUAUUUGAGGCAUACUUCAUGAACCACAUGGAUUCUAGGAAGUGAUAUAGACCUUUGUUUCUUUCAUUUGAGCCCUUCUAGCCAACCCGUAUCACUUUUAUCCCUUGUUAAUCACCUUGUGCCUUUUAUGUAAGCCUUUUUUUUCGUUCUUUACCCUUUUUUCCUCACCUUAAUCUAUCAUAUGUUACCCUUCUAAGGAGUUUUGUACAGUAUUUUCGUUGUUAAGGGAGAAUUGCACAACAAUCAUGUGGAAAGUAAAGGAUACUAUUUCCAAAAAAAAAACCUAAUUUCAAACCCUUUUCAACUCGAGUUAUUGAGCCCUAUGAGUGUUUUACAUUUAAUUUCGUAAAGCUAUGUAGCUUGGGAGUCAUUGGCCUAACACUCGCUGCAUGGGUUGAUUAGAAAGCUAAUGAAGAGUUAGAAAAAAAAAUUGUGAAAAAUAAAUAAAUUUCAAGACAGUAUCAAUAUGAAGUUGCGUGCUCAAAGUGCAAGAUGUUAUAAUUUUCAUGGAAAGCUCUAUGAAUUCCUUAGAAUUUGUUCAUCCAUAUCUUUUUCUUGUUUCACCCGUCACUCUAAGCCCCAUUACAACCUUAUUUGAAGACUAUUCUGCUAUUUUCUCAAGGCGUGCAAUAUAUGACUGGAAAGAUAAGAUAAAGACCUACAAUUUACAUAUUUUUUCAGAAUUUUCUCGGAGGAGGAAUGAUUCCAAACGUGGGUGCAAAGUAACUAACGUGUUAUCCUAGUCCAAGUAGGAAGAUGAGUCAAUUACUUACCCAUUUUGGAUUUAAGUUUUAAUUAGCUGUUUCUUUAUUUUUGGGCUGUUGUAAAAGGCCAGCUAAGGUAGGAAUAGACGUGUGGCAUUUUAUUUAAGCAUGAGACAACUCCUUUGGGAAGACGCAAAGACUAGGAGAAAUUGGAGACGCCGGAAGAGUACCACAAUUGGCUAAGUUUUAUUGUUUCUUCCUUAUGUUUUUGUUUAUGUCAAAUUCUAUGAUUAUGUGUAACUAAUUUUAUUUUGCUAGGGCAUGAUGUAUGCCUAGUAUGAUAAUCUAGUUUUCUUAUUUUACCUAUCUAUUGAUUGCAGUUUGAUGUUAGAUUCUUAAUCACUGUGCUUAGUACCUUAGUUGAUUACCUUGAUGCUUGAUCACCAUCUAGACUUUUAAUUGAGUUAAUCGGAUGCGAAUUAGAGUAAAUACCAUACUUAAUUUGAGGUUUGCUUCUUGUGAUUAGAAUUUGUAAUUUGUCUAAAGUAAAUACCAUACUCCUAGAAUUUACAUGCUUGUUGGAGGUUUUCACUGAUUUCAAUAUUUUCCCGACAUGUGAUGCCAACAACAUAGAUGUUUCAAUGUUUCACUAUGGAAGCAAUCACGUAAGGAUUAACAUGGCAGGACAUCAGACAUGAGAAACUAAGAAGAGAGAGAGAGAGAGAGAGAGAGACUUGCCAUUCAAGCAAGAGAAGGCCAUAACACUAUAUAGCAAUAGCACCGUAAAAUAAGAUGCAAAGAAUGAGGGGGUCAUGUUUUCAAGUACCAAAACACGCAAGGGCAUUUUGGUAAAGUACAUCUGAAAAUAAAUCAAGGCAAGCAAAGCCGUAGAUAUCCUCUUCCUGCUACACAUAGUAUUAGCCUACGUAAGGUCAUUACGGCGCCGUUUCCCUUUUUAAUUGGCGUAGUUCAACUCAUCAUCCACCCAAGUUCAUUUCGUUCAAAGCUAUAAAUAACCCCUCAAACCAUUCAACUUUCCCACCACCACUCCUCACUCCUUCAACUCAUUAACCUCUCUCUCUCUCUCUCUCUCUCUCUCUCUCUCUCUCAUCCGCAAAUGGCGAACCGUAGAAGCCUCUUUUCUCUCUCACUUAUCUUUGUGUUCAUGAUCAACUCAGCCAUAGCCACUCCAGUCACAUACAAUGUGGCCAGUUUAGGAGCCAAAGCAGAUGGCAAGACUGACUCCACAAAAGCCUUCCUCUCUGCAUGGGCUAAAGCUUGUGCCUCGAUGAAUCCCGGUGUCAUUUAUGUGCCGGCAGGAACGUUCUUUCUUCGCGAUGUGGUGUUCAGUGGGCCUUGCAAGAACAAUGCCAUCACCUUCCGCAUUGCCGGAACCCUUGUGGCCCCGUCGGAUUACCGGGUCAUCGGUAAUGCAGCUAACUGGAUUUUCUUUCACCAUGUAAACGGGGUUACCAUAUCAGGUGGAAUUCUUGACGGCCAAGGCACGGCCUUGUGGGCUUGCAAGGCCUCUCAUGGCGAGAGUUGUCCCAGCGGAGCAACGGUAAUUAAUUCACUACUUUAAAUAUCAUAUUCAUGACACCAUUAAAUAUCAAAUUCAUGACACCAUUAUUUUGUGCUUCAUUAUUAGUGAGAAUUUUAAAGGUCAACGUACGUACAAUUUGCUUUAUUAUUUGCUACCAAUUGAAUUGAGGGUUUAUAAAAUAAGUUCAAACUCCACAGAACGUAAUCAAAUGGACAUGAUAAAUUGUACCACAAGUUUAGCUUGAUCAAGUAAUUUCGUAAUAUGUGCAGACUUUGGGUUUUUCCGACUCAAACAACAUCGUGGUGAGUGGAUUGGCAUCCCUAAACAGCCAAAUGUUCCAUAUAGUCAUCAACGACUGCCAAAAUGUGCAAAUGCAAGGUGUCAGGGUUUCUGCUUCCGGUAAUAGCCCUAACACCGAUGGCAUUCAUGUCCAAAUGUCAUCUGGUGUCACAAUCCUCAACUCCAAGAUUGCAACCGGUGACGAUUGUGUCUCAAUUGGCCCCGGAACCUCAAAUUUGUGGAUAGAAGGCGUUGCUUGUGGACCUGGCCAUGGAAUUAGGUACGACAUCAAAAUUAUAUAUUUAUCCAUGAUUGAUUAAACUAGCUAAAUGCAUACUAUUUCAUAAUAUAUGUUAUAAUGUAUAUCUUUUUUCUUCAUUGCUUAAUGACAUUUGAACUUAGGACAUCUUUCAAUAAAGUGGAGAUUAAUUGAUUGCUAGUAGAGAUUCAUUGCCUACAAAAAGUAUAUCUUUCUUUUGGGUGGAUGUUCUAGUUGUAAAUUUAACAUUGCUUUACUUGAUGGUUCAGCAUUGGAAGUCUAGGCAAGGAGCAAGAAGAGGCCGGUGUACAAAAUGUAACAGUUAAAACGGUUACCUUUAGUGGUACUCAGAAUGGUCUAAGAAUCAAGUCAUGGGGGAGGCCAAGCACUGGGUUUGCUAGAAAUAUUCUUUUCCAACAUGCUACAAUGGUCAAUGUCGAAAAUCCUAUUGUCAUAGAUCAACAUUAUUGCCCCGACAACAAAGGGUGCCCUGGUCAGGUAAGAUAUCAUUCAUGCUCUAAAAAUCAGUUCCCAAAGUUUAAUAUUACAACUCAAUUUUCUCUUCUUCACAUUGAUAAAAACGUUGGCAUCACCAAAUUAUAACUGUCUAAGUUCGAAACAUAUCAAAAGCUUUCUUGGGCUUCCACCUAGAAGAGCCAAUAAUUUUAGGCCCAAAGCAAAUCCAAUAACUCCUUCCUCCAUGGGCUUGCUCUCCUACUACUUACAAAGAUCGAGCCUUGCUCAUUGUAACCUUUGUAACUUAUUAAUGGAAUUGAGGGUUGUAGCUCAAGUGGUUAACAACAUUUACUCUGGUAUUCGAAGUCCUAGAUUUAAUUCCCCUCUUUUCCAAUACCAUUUUUAUCAAAAUGACUUCAUCGUAGCUUAGCCAAAAAAGCAUUGAAUCCCAUUAAGCCGAAUUCCCAUGCUAUAAUACUUGUUCACCUUCUGUUUUAUCAAAAGCUGGAAAUCUGACUUCGUAUUGUUUUUUUUUUCUUUUGUCAAUUUUGUUUUUCAAUAGGUUUCCGGAGUUCAAAUUAGCGAUGUGACAUACGAAGACAUACACGGUACAUCAGCAACAGAAGUUGCAGUAAAAUUUGAUUGCAGUCCCAAGCACCCUUGCAGCGAGAUCAAAUUGGAGGAUGUGAAGCUUACUUACAAGAACCAAGCAGCUGAGUCUUCAUGUAGCCAUGCAGAUGGAACAACUGAGGGUGUGGUUCAGCCUACAAGUUGUUUGUAGAGUGGAAAAAUAUGAACUGCUUGUAGAAGUAUUGAAAUCCAAAAGUUUGCCCUCCAGUACUAAGGACAAAUGAAAAGUGAAUUAUACGAUUUAUAGGAAGAAUAAGCUUGUGGCGUUGGCAGCCUAUUUCGGCUCCCUUGAUCCUGGCCGUUCAAUUAGUUUAGUUUGUUCAAACUCGUCCACUUCGAUGGGUGUUUAUGUUAUAUGAACUGUUGUAAGAUUAUGUCCGGAAGACGUUAAAUUUACAAGAUUAAAUUUUAUUUUGAUGGCUGAUGUGGCAUUUGACAUAGAAUUCAAUAUUCUAUCAAUUUAAUUCACAAUUUUAUUAUAAUCGGAAGCACACAUUAAAUAGUAAAAAUUUGGUUCAAGAAACAAAAGGAUUUCAACACUCGCAUGAACUUUUUGGUUGGAGCAUUUUCUCAUGCCAAAUUUUACCCGUUAAAAAUUUAUUAUGGUAUUUUGACAUUUUGGUUGGAGCAUUUUCUCAUGUCAAAUUUUACCCGUUAAAAAUUUACUAUGAUAUUUUAACAUUUCGAUUGGAGAUGUAUAAAUGUUAAAUAUGCAUUGAUUCAAGAUGCAUUUUUGUUUCUUAUUCUUGAGCUUUGAGCUUUAGGUAAUUAACUUGAAUGCUGUUGGGCACCUUGCACUAGUUGAUUAAAGAAAAAUAGACCCGAAGCAAGAUUCCUUGUAGUUGCCAAUUCGAAGUUUUCUUUAUCGCUACAUACUUACUGGUCUACAACUUCUCUCUCUAAUACAUAAUUUGACAUAAAUAAAUACAAUGAAGAGUGCAUUGACUAAACAAAACAAAACAAAAAAGCAGCACGUAAGCACUUACGUGCAUUUGGUGUAAAAGCUAAAGGCCUCUGAUUUAUGUAAGCAGUUACGCUAAUCAUAUUAUAUUAUAUGUAUCUUGGCUCUGUAAUUGUAACGGAAAUAACACUGUUUUGUUAUUCUCAACCAAUAACACAAUGAUACGUGGAAAAGUUAUUUCACGUGUCAUUGCGUUAUUGGUUGAGAUAUAUCUUUCCCUUUCAAUUUUUGUAAACAUAUAUACCAAAUGUUAUGCUCAAAUAUAUAUUAAUUGUUAGACAUUGUUACCUUAAAAAAAAAAAUGUAUUGCAAAAUACAAGUUUGAUCAUAUGAUUAAUUUAAUUUUGUUGGUGUAAACGUGCAGCCAAUAUAUGGGUAUGGAGUCUCUGGGCACCCAGAUUUGAAGGCAGGUGACUUAGUUUGGGGGACUACCUAUUGGGAAGAGUACAGCCGAAUCCCUGAACCCGAAGGCCUGAUCAAAAUCCAGCACACUGAUGUACCUCUAUCCUAUUAUACUGGAAUUCUUGGUAACAAGUCAAACCUAUUUUAGAUCAUGAUGAUAUGUGUUGGUUUAGAUACGUAAGUGUAUUUUUUGUAAUUUCAUUUCAGGUAUGCCUGGUUUGACCGCUUAUGUUGGUUUCUAUGAAAUUUGUUCUCCUAAGAAAGGAGAACAUGUCUUCAUUUCAGCAGCAGCUGGUGCUGUUGGUCAGCUUGUUGGACAAUUUGCAAAAUUAAUGGGUUGUUAUGUUGUUGGAAGUGCUGGCAGUAAGGAAAAGGUACGAACUUGAGAAAUCUUUGAACUUCAAAUUAAUAUUAUCUACACCAUUUUUUCUUGUUUGGGUUGUAUUUUGCCGUUGUUAUUUGGGCCAACUUUGGUGUUGGUUUGGGUUGGGGCUUCUGUUUGUGUUGUUGAAUUGGGUCUUUUAGUUGUUUUUGUAAACUCUGACUUAACCAUUUUCUUUGCGUGUGCUAAAUUUAUAAUUUUGACCAGUGUCACGCAGGAAAUGUUUCAUGCUUUGUUAACAGGGGACUUUAGAGGAGUAUUUUAUUCAGAUGAAAAGUGAUUCAUUCCUUUCCUUUAUGGAUUCAUCUUGUUAGGUUGAUCUAUUGAAGAAUGAGCUUGGAUUUGAUGAGGCUUUUAACUAUAAAGAAGAGACUGACUUGAAUGCGGCUUUCAAAAGGUACAUAUGAGUAAUGAUAGAGAGAUUAGAUUUAUAAACCCUAGCGUACCAUGAAUACAAUGAGUUUCAACUCUAUUAGACAAGUUGUUAUUUGACAGGUGGUAUACAAAGCAAUCUAUAAAUGUGAUCUCCCUAUUAUUUUUCGUAAAAUACAUAUUUAUUAUGUUAUACUAGUUUCCUUUAGUAAGAAAAGAAAGGAAAAAAACGAUUAUAAAGAAUUUGUGUGUUGUCAGGGUUCGUUAUUCGACUGGGCCAACUCAAAAAUUUUGGGUUCGAGUCGAGCCCUCAUGGGCCUAAAUGGGCCAGACUUUUUGUUUUAGAAAGUCUUUUAAAUCUUUUUGUUACACAUUUCAUUUUUUCAAAAGUGAUGGAUAUAGAGUAUUCUUUUAAACAAUAGUAUAGAUUACUACAUAAUUUAAGAAAACAAAAAUAUAAUGGCCAAACUUUUUUACUAAACCUAGACCAAUAACCAAUAUAUUUAAAAAAUAUUAUACCUAAAAAUGAAUCUUAUAAUGUGCAAUUUGUGCCUUAAUUAACUUAUAUCCCAAAUUAGGAUUGACAUCAUGAAAAUUAAAGCAACUUGUGCCUUUAAAAUUAAUAAACCCAGAAUAAGCUUUCAAAUUCUUUAUUGAACCAUUAAAUUUGAACUUGACAAAAAAGGGGCACUAAGAGAUAUGGUGCAUAUAUUGCUUGUUUGUUACAAAAUUUUAGACAACAUUGAAAAAAUUAACUUAAUUUAUAAUAUGUGUAAACAAAAAAAAAAAAAAAAAAAAAAGCAUAAGGGGGCGGGCCUAACCAUCCUGUUAGGCCGGACUUUGGCCCAUCAGGCCUCGGACUACCCACUUCGGGGCCGCGGGCCAAAUGAUGAUCCUUAUAUGUUGUAUAUGAUGCUUUGAAGCUUGAGCUUUCUUGAGUGAAGAAUAAAUUUUCUUUGUAAUUACCAUACACUUGUCAGGUAUUUCCCUGAAGGCAUUGAUAUUUACUUUGAGAAUGUUGGAGGCAAAACGCUAGACGCAGUGCUCCUCAACAUGAGAGUCCAUGGCCGCAUUGCUGUAUGUGGAAUGGUCUCACAGUACAAUCUUGAUCAAGCAGAAAGGGUAACAAAUUUGAUGCACCUUGUGUACAAACGUAUCCGCCUCCAUCGAUUUUCGGUAAGAGAUCACUAUCACCUCCAUCCGAAAUUCGUGGAGUUUAUGCUGCCUUACAUUAGGCAAGGAAAGAUUGUUUAUGUGGAAGACAUAGUUGAAGGCCUUGAGAGUGGUCCAAGAGCGCUGGUUGGACUUUUUAAGGGUCUUAACUUUGGAAAACAAGUAGUUGACGUCUCUGCAUG
rnacentral:lncRNA from 1 species